AAGAAGACAGAAAACAAACUCUAAAGCCAGAAUGCUCACGUGGUAUGGACUUGAAGAAAAGGUCAGCAACAUCCUGAUGGUGUUUCCGGAGAAAGGAGGCUUGUCCAGUAUAUGCCAAUACAAGAGCUGGGUAUGUGACAGCGCACAUACUUAUUUGAAUUGAUCGAACUGUGAAGUGGCCAACAUCAGCAAACAGCGCCUCCGUCCCUGCAUUUUCCCGAAAACAAUCUGAGAAAUUUCUCAAGUUAAUGAUGGAGGAGAAUUGAUUAUUGAUCCAAAUCCAAACCUGUUAUGGAGAGGACGGCCCCACCAAGGGAAAUCCAGGCUUCUUUCUUGUUCCUUCUAAAGUAAUUGAUGAUGUACUUGGGAUUAAUGGCUUUAACAACUGUUGGAUCAAACUUGAUGAAGUUGUAGACCCCAAUGCCGCUAAUUAACGCGAACCAAACACAGAUUAUUGGAGCAAAACUGUAUCCAACUUUGUCAGUUCCAAAUCUUUGAACCAUGAAAAGACACACCAAGAUGGCUACUGAUAUCCAAACAAUCCUAUCUGUGUCCAAGAAAAAAGUUAUUUAACUUUGUCAGUUCCAAAUCUUUGAACCAUGAAAUAAAAUUUAUUUACAUUUUUCAACUGAGGAAAAAAUAAAAAUAAAAUAAAAUAAAAUAAAGAAAGAAUGGUGAAUAAUAUGAUUAUAUAUAACCAUUUAAAAAAAAAACUUAUGAUAUGGGAAUUUUUUAUUGUAUUUAAUAAUUUAAACUUUUACCUUUUUAUCAGUCACGAUUGAGAGGACAAGUCAAAAUAUUAUUAAGAAUAAUUAUUCGAGGAUGUUAUUGUAAGUUGAAAGGAUUAUUUUAAAUUUGUCAACAGUACAAACCCAUUAUUUUAUUUAUUUUCUUUUUCCUUAAAGAGGGUAAAGAUUCUAAGUUAAUAAGCCAUUGGAUUAAACACUUUUGUCUACACUUUACUAGUCAAAAUUGGACAAUCUGUUUUUUUUAUCAAUUAAUUUGGUUCAAUUCAAUUUUUUGUAAUUAAAAGGAGUAAAAUAAUUAUAGAUUUACAAAUCUUAAAAAAAUAAAAAAAUAACCUACAAAAAUGCCAUUCCUUUUUUUUUUUUUAUUUUAAAAAAAUUAUCCAAAUGUUAGAUAAAAAAUUUAUUGUAGUAGUUGAUUUUAAAAGUUGAGAAAGAUUACCUUGUGUCAUUGAAUCUGUAACUUCCUUGAUGCCACCCACAGCAGAUAAAACUAUGACAUGCAAAGUCAAAUAUCAAAUAUACAAUAAAAGACUGAAGGACGAAACCCAUUUUCUUUGUCAACAAAAAUCCAACUAAGGUGGUGUUUAUAUUUUACUUAAUUUUUAAUAGAACCUUAAUACUUAAUAAUGUUAAAUAUUAAGUUAUUUGUUUUUGUAGUAUUUUAUUUCUAUUAAAUAUUAAAAAGUAAAGAAAAACCAAUAUAUUAUAUUUUUUUAUUUAGAAAAAACUAUAUAUUUUGGUUUUUUCUAUUUAGUAAAAAGUUUAUAAUAAGUUAUGAAAAAGUAGAAAAACAAAAACCUAAUUUCUGAAAACAAAUUGCUUUCAGCAAAAAACCAAAAAAACAAACACCACCUAAAUUAAUUUGCAGUACCACUAGUAGACAAGAGACCCAUCCUAAUUCCUAACUAUAAGAAAAAUUCAUCCUAAUUCCUAACUAAUAAGAAAAAUUAAUAAUAAAGAAGAAAGUUGAAUGCAUAUUCUGCCAUAUACAUAUAUCUACUUAAAUUAGUCAUAAGUAAUUUUCAAUGAUAAUAAAAGAUAACUUUAAAAAAGCUAAGCACAAGAUUUUUUUGGCAACAAAAAUUUGUAAAAGGAAAAGUCAUUUAUUAUGGAAGAAAGAAACCUUUUAAAUAUCUCAAACUAACUAAAAAAGGAUGAUGUAAAUUAUGGUUGUUUUUUAUUUUUUAUAGUAAGAAAAGUAUUUCCAAAAAUGGUAGCGUGAUAUGGUUUUUACUUUCCAAAUAAGAAAGGUAUCUCCAAAAAAAAUGAUACUGUGACAUGCUUUUUACUUUCUAAAGUAAGAAAAAGUAUUUCCAAAAAAGGUAGUGUGACAUGGUUUUUACUUUCCAAAGUAAAAAAAGUAUUUCCAAAAAUGGUAGUGUGAUAUGGUUUUUACUUUCGAAAAGUAUUUCCAAAAAAUACCAUGUGAAAACAAAGAUGAAAGGAAAAAAAUAAAAUCUUUUAAUAAAUGCAUAAGGAAAAAUAAAGGUGUAUGACAGUAUGUCAUUAAAUUUGUAUGUAAAUGUAAAGAAGGAUAAAAACUAAGCUAACCUGAGAUGCAAGGAGUGAGGACACCAUCACCAAUCACCAUGGAAGUGCCAAGCAUUGUAGCAAACAACAGAAAGAACUUAGCAAAGUUGCUCUUCUCUAGCUUAGACUUAAGCUUUGAUGCCAUCUGCAGUCUUUUACUAGGCAGCUCCAACCGGAAAUUGGAGACUUCUCUGUCCUCAGCCUGUUGACUAGGGAUCAACCCCACCUUGGCAUAUCGGCAUAUAAGAGAAUACAAAGCAAAUGUCCCUCCUGAAAAUUAUCCAGUGUUUAAAAGAAGUGUAUUCUAGGCUUAAUGGGCUAUUUUCCUCUUUUUUGAGUUAUAAUGUGAACCACAUAUUUAGAGUUGAAAAGGCAGAAAGGAUUAAAAAAAAGAUUCAUUGGAUUGAGUGCACAAUUGUCGAUCAUUAAUUAAGCACAUACGAGGGAAGUUUCCCUUCCCCAGUUGGAGCCUGCAUGGUUAUUUUCAAGGGCAAGUCACACAGUUUGAUACAUCAAAGUUGGCCUUCAAUGGUGUUUUUCACUCAUCUCAAGACUAGAAAAAAAUGGCAAAAAAAAAAGAAAAAAAGAAAUUAAUAAACCAUUUUGCCUGGUAUGGAAAAGUCUUAAUAUGUGGCAUAUUUCUAAUAAGAAAAGAUGAUGGGUUCAUGCCAUAAAGAAAACAAAAAAGAAAAAGGAAAGAUAGAAAAAGAAGAUCACAGUACGAUACAUUUCAAUUAAAAUCAAAGGUCGUUAAUGAUCAUGAGCUCUCACCCUCGCCAUUAUCAGUGGCCUUCAACACAGUCAAGACGUACUUGAAGAGAGGGAUGAGGGUGAGGGUGUAGAAGAUGAUAGAAAGAACCCCCAGAAUAUCAUCAUUAUGUUUGACACCAUCAGUGAAAGUGCUUGCAUACACGUACAACGGCGAAGUUCCAAUGUCCCCAUACACUAUUCCCAUGCUCUGAAACGCCAGGUGCAGUAUCACAGACCAGUCCUUGGUAUCCUUCAAAACAGAAAUUCAAAAGAUUAAAAUAUAUAUAUAUAUAUAUAUAUAUAUCAAAUUUUCUUUCUCCCAGUUUCCAUGCAUAAAGGGGUGGGGGGUGCAGACCUUGGAGCCAUGGUGGCUGUGGCCAUGUACAGUCCCGGACUCCAUGUCUAGGGAGUCCAUACGACGCAAUUUUCCCCGUGAGAGUUUCUUUGAUUUGAGGCCUUGAUCAUGGGUGUCAUCAGGGCUGUUUACCACAUCAGAAGACAUUUUCUAUGAUCUGAAAAGGGCUUUGAUUGGACCGGAGGUUAUGCAGAAGAUGAAGAAGGUGCAGAGGCCAGUUUAAAGGCACAGAAAGGUCUGAAAAGAGUGAACGAGAUGUUGAUGGGCAUCUCCAAAUUUACCUCUUGGUUUUGUGCUUAUUUACCUUCCAUGCCCUGCCCUCACUGUCGGUUGAAAAUAGAAAACCGCGUGGUUUGAUUUUAUGAAUGAGUAAACGAGAUUCCGACAGUGUUUUUUUACCAUUUAUUUUUCAAAUUUGUUGGAAAACGCGUUAUCAGUAAAUAAACUUACCCCAUAUUAGUCCAAUGGUUGAUAUCUGAAACCUAUUAUUUACUUUUUUUAAGAUAUGACUUCCUAUUAUAUUCCUUUACAAAUUUGAAAAUAUUUUUUGAAUUAGUAUAUUAUUAAAAAUAUUUUUUAACUAAUAUAUAUAUUUUAAAUUCUCACGCCUACAAUAAGGAUAUCCCAUCAAUAUUCCUAAAAACUUCUUUUUAUCCUUACGUUUUAAUUAAACGUGUGUUUUAAAGUGAUUUUAAAAAACGUUUAUAAUAUUUUUAAUAUUUAAAUAUAAAAAAUUUAAAUUAAAAAGAUAAAAAUUAUUUUCUAGAUUCUAAGCUUUCUUCAAUUUUGUUUUUUAUUUUUAAAAAUAAAAAUAGAGAUUACAAUAAUUUUUUUUUUUAAUGACUAAGUUAUUUAUGAGAAAAAUAUUAUAUUUAUAAUUUCUUUCAUCAUUAUUUUUCUUCUAUUAUCACAUACAUUUAAUUAAUAAAUUAGAUUUAAUUAGACUAAAAAUUCGUUUUGCAAUGUUUAAAAAAAUAUUUCUAAUGUUUCGUAUUUCACAAUAUUUGAUUGCACAUUAAAAGGAUACCCAAAAUUUAUUGUUUAAAAAUAAGUAAUAAAUUUGAGAUGGUGACAUCGGAACCCUACUCUCAUAUAUCGCCCAUAUAUCUCGAUAUUUUGUUCCAUGAUUGAAAUAUGCAUGGGGGAGUGUAGUGCUCCAUGAACUUUCCAGUGGGGUGAAAAUUCUGUAGCAUCACAUGCAGAUGCGUCAUAGUCAUAAUCACGUGUUAAACGUAUUCUUUCUGCAACAUCACAGAUCACAGGAAGCCUAUGAUGGUUGACCCUAAGAUGAAUUGCAUAUAUUCAUAGGCCUUGUUUGGAAAAUAUAAUAUCAAAAAAAUCACAACAAUCCGAGUUUAAAAAAAUACAAAUUUAUAUUCAAUUAUUCAGAUACUAUUUUUUUAAUAGUUUAAGUUCUAUCUUUGACUAUUUUAAGUAUCAUCUAUUUUAUGAUUAAAGAAAAGUUCAAUGAACACGACAUAGAGUGAUAAAAAAAAAAAGGACCAUGAAAUAAAACUUCUCCAUUUAAGAAGAUUCAUAAUAAUAAUAAUAAUAAUAAUUAAAAAAAAUAAAAUUAUUGAUAUUUCUCAUCCCCUUGAUAGAAAAGGAAAUUGGUUAUUGCUCCUUUAUAUUAUAGAGAUAGAAUUCUUGUCAAAUUCAUAAACUAACAUAAUGUCUAAUUCAUUUUCAUAAUGGAAAAUGUACUCUCUCCCUCUCAUCUAAAGAAGAUAACAUUGGUUAUUACUACUUUACAUUCAUAGAGAUAGAAUUCUUCAGAAUUCAUUAACUAAUAUAAUGUCUAAGACGCACAAAUUUCAAAUUGCUUUUGUGUAUGGCACACAUGGUUGUUGUCUAAAUAUGACAACUCUUUUCGUCAUUAAUUUUUUCAAGUUAUUUUUAUUAUAAUUUUAAUUUUUUUUUCAAAAAAAUCAUUUUAGAAUCAUAUAAAUUGUUAAAAAUUUAUUGAACAACAUUAAUUUUCUUAGCUAAUCCAUUAUAAAAAAUAAAUUAGGUAAAAUUUGAUUAGAGUUCUUUUUCUUUUUUGGUUCUUUUCUUCUAGUAAAACUAUAUUUUUAAAUUAAUAAACUCUAAAAUAAUGCUAAAUAUUUUUAAUUAGUUAUUGACUUAUUAGAUAUAAAAUUUAUUUAUUUAUAUGAAAAUUUUCAUGUGAUGAACUCUCAUUUAUUAGGAAAUUAUGAAAACUUGUAAUUUUUUUAAUUUUUAUGAUCUUAAAAUUCUCAAAUGGACCUUAAUUUGAAUGUUAUUAAUUAUUAAUGUUGUAUAUUGUAUGUAAAUAAGUAGUCUUUAUCCUUAAAAAAAUGUAUUUUGUUUAUUUGUAUUUUAGGAUAAAGAUAUUUGAAAAACAAUAAUUAAAAUAAAAUUAAUUUAAUAAAUUGUAGAAAAUCCUAAAAUACCAAAAUUUACUCCAUUGUUGUUUUAUAUAACUAAGAAAAAUAUUUGAAAAUUAGUAAUUUAAUAUAUUUCUAAAUAUCCUAAAAUAUCAAAAUGGAUUGUAAUACAAAAAUUUAUAAUGAUUAAUGAUGGGAUCACUUAAAAAAUUGGUAAUAAGAUGAUAAUUAGGGUUUCUAAUUAUGUUCAAUUAAGUAAAAAACACGUAAAGUUUUUUUAUGUUAAAUUCUACUUAUUAGUAAUUACUCAUAUACAUGAUAUAUGAAUAUAUAUAUAUAUAUAUAUAUAUAUAUAUAUAUAUAUAUAUAUAUAUAUAUAUUUCAAUUUUAGAAAAUUGUGAAUUUUUUCAGAUUGACUUUUUAUCCAAAUUAGUUAAUUUUAUUUUUUAGUAAUAUUUUUUUAGAAAGUAAAGAAAAUGACAAAAAAAUAUUUUAUAUUAAUUAUAUUCUUUUAUUUCUUGGGAUAAUUUUAUUAAUUUAUGAAAAAUUUAUUUUUGAGUCAAAUGUAUAAAAUUUAAAUAUUCAAUGAGAUACACUUCUUAGUUUUUUAUUUUUAGAAACUUUUGUACAAAAGUAGAGAUAUUAAUGAGUCAUUGAACUAUCUACAUGGUUGACAGCUCUUACAACUUUGGCACAACAACACAAUUAUCAGGGGCAUGUUGUACCACCAAGCUAAUAGUUCAUAGUACAAGUCUUCCAUUAGGGACCCACCAUGCCAAGAGCGAGUGAAACUUCAUCAUUCUUUUGUCUUUUUUUACUUCAAUAUCACCACAUAAGAGAGACAUGAGGACGUAAAAUAAGGUUUUAUCAAUUUGUUCUCACCCAACAUAAUAAUGACAUGAGUUUGGUUGGUCUUCACCUUAUAUGGUGAAUACAAUGAUGGUCACUUUUGCAAAUUGAAACUUAAAGAAUGUAAGUGACAAUAUAAAAAAAAUGAUAUAAUAAAAAUCAAUAUAAUAACAAAUUACAAAUAAAUAAAUAAAAAAUAAAGAGGAAAAAAAAUAUAUAAACACAAUAUUUUACAGCAAUUUGACACAACCCAACUUACAUUUACUUUCCUCAAGUUUUCAAUCAGGGGACAGAUUUUUUAAUAAGGUUUCUAACUCAAACCUUCAAGUUUACAAUGGACCAUAGUUCCAAUCAACUUUCUUGGACUUCUAGCUCCAAAUACCCUUUUGGAUUAUUGUUUUAAAUAUUCUUUAUAACAAAAAAUUUCAAUAUAAAGCAUUAUUUUCAAAAUUGGAUCAGAUAUUGAACCAAAAAAGUUAUCGAUUCACCGGUCGAACAUGUGAUUUAACCGCGGUCAAAUCGGUGAUAUUAUAAAUAUAUAAUUUAUAUUUUAAUAAAAUUAAUAUAUAUAUAUAUAUAUAUAUAUAUAUAUAUAUAUAUAUAUAUAUAUAUAUAUAUAAUUUUUUAAUAAUAUUUUGUAUUUUAUAUUUGAUAUGUCAAAUUAAAUAUUAAAUGAUAAAUAUAAAUAUAAAUGUAUUAAUAUAUUAAAUUUUAUUAAAUAGAACAAUAUUUAAAUAUGAGGAUAUAUUCAAGAUAAAAAAUUAUAAUAUUUAAAUUAAUUGCAUAUAUAUAUAUAUAUAUAUAUAUAUAUAUAUAUGUAUUUUGUUAUUUUAAAAUUUUAAAAACUAUUAUAUUAAUUAAUUUAUGUUAUUUUUUUAUUUAUAAUUAAUAAUUAUUAUACCAAUAAUGGUAGAUAUAAAUAUUUAUAUUUAUUUAAAUGUUCUCUAUGAUAAAAAUUUAAAGUAGGAUAUAUACGUAUUUUCCAUGUUAUUGACCAAAUAGCUAUGUAAGUUGGUGGUCGACCACUCAUUAUGUAAACCACAUGUCCUAGGUUUCAAUUCCCCUCCAUGUGAAGCUUAUUUUAUUAUUACUAAGGCCUAACCUCUCCCACAUUGAAAUUCUACAAAGCAUUUAUGUAGCAUUUAUACCUUUACAUCAUAAGUGAAAGUAAAUUGCCAUAUAAUACAAUAAAUGGGCUUGGAAGAAAGUGAGAAAUGAGCUAGAAAAUUGUGGAAACCAGGGUGGAAUUUGGUUAAACCAUAAUUGACUAGUUCAUGAGAAAUUGGAUAGUUUGUCUGGUUUGGCGAUUGAAUUGUCGAUUUAUUUUGUCCAACGACGGUCCAUUUCACUAGAUCAGACCAAAAAAGCCAUCAGUCGAUGGUUAAACCGGCCGGUUCGGUCCAUUUUUCAAAACAAUAAAAUUAAGGUUGAAUGAUACAUUAAAAUAAAAUGCAAGUUUAAAAGUAAAUGCAUAUCUAAAAACACUCUCUUGGUGCUUCAAUUAUAUUAAAAAAUAAUUUAGAGCUCUUUCUCGUUCAAAGAAGAGUUGAGAGCCACUAGAUAUAAUUUGAGUACUAAUUGACCAACCAAUAGAUUAACUACUAAUCAUCAAGGUUACCAUUUCCUAACAAACUCAACUGAUUGAGACUUAGUUUAACCUAGUUGAAUCAAGGUUAUGCCAAUGAUUGGAGCCAAAAUAUGUGCUCCAAUGGCACAUAUAUAAUAUAAUUUAUACAAUAUAAAAAGCUCAAAUCAUCAAACUUAACUUAAAUUGAUGCUAAAAUCCUAACUAUGGAUCUAACUUCCCUUUUUGAACCUAAUUCCAAAUCUAAGGGGUGAAAAGAAUGCUUAGUACAAAUUUCAUUCUCAACCAAGGGAGUAGAAAAGGUUAAAUAUACAUAAAUGAGAGACUUCAGACUCUUGAACCAUAAAUAGUCCGAAUAAGAGCAUAAUGAAAAAACAAUAGGCAUGAGAUACUAGUAACGAAUGUUAUGAAGUGAGAUAGAAGGAAAUAAAUCAUAAUGAAGGAAGUUUGAAGCAAAUACAAUCAAAUUCACAUGGAAAUUAGGAACUCAAAAUUUGGCUAUAACAAGCACUCUAAAUUUGAGGUGAAAUUUGGAGGACUUCCCAAAGUCAUUUUUAAGCAUGUUAUGUAUCAUUUCGAAGUUUGGGAAGUCAAGAGUCUAACACUUCAAAUGAUGUGCAAAUUAGAACUGAAAUGAGGAAGUUAUGUGCAUUAGAAGUGAAAUAGUAGUAGGUAAGUUCAAAAUUCAUAGUGAAUUUUGAACUCACCAUGGUGAUUUCAAAUUGGAACUUUUCAUCCAUUUAUGAGCUCAAAAUUGAUUUGGAACUCACCUCAAUUUUGAAUUCAACAGUUGGUGAUUGAGUUAUAGCUCUAAAACAUACUAAAAAUGAGUUUCAAAUGCCUUAAUCUAAUUCAAAAUGCAUUUUACUCAUUUAGAACUCAUAAUAUUUAGAGUUUUUUUAGGUUGUUUAUAAUUUUUCUUUGUAAUAAGUGGCCAAUGGAAGUGUAUCACAUGUUAGGUUAUUGAAUUUAUUAAAAUUUUUUACUUCUAGGUUUUGAAGGAGGAAGAGAAAAAGAUAGAGUGUAGGAAGUGAAUCUCCUCUUAAAAGUCUUUAAUAGAGUUUAAGGUUUUCUUUUCUUUUUCAAUCUUUCUAUUUUAUUUUCUCGGCAACCAAACAUGGGUUGUAAGAAGAAGCCCUCCAUCAUGUUUGGCUAACUUGAUUAAUCCAAAUAUGCUAACAUGAUGAAGGUGAAGAAUCCAAAAAAAAAAAAAAGCAAUAACACGACAAAGUAUGAUUUUCUUUAUGUUUUCAAGAUUUAAUUGAUAAGAAUAAAUCUUUUACGUGAGUUCACUGUAGAUAAAUUACAAAUGAUUCUUAUCAAGAUAGUAGUGAUUAUUGAGAAGACAUUGAUCACUAAUUACUAUAAUUUGAUCUUACUAUUAACGAAUUUAAGGGUCAAAUCUACAAAGAUGGAUAUAGCCUUUGAUUGAAUAAAACUGAAAAUCAAAAUUGACUAGCACCUAUCAUUGUGAGUUUGUAUUGGGGAUUGAUACAGUAGAUUAUUACCCGUUACUAGUGAUUUUUGGUAACUUCUAAUCUUUAGUUAUCCUAGUCUUUUUUAUCCUUAUUUUUUCUUAAAACAAAGAUACAAGGAGUUGGAAAUGUCAAAAAGUCAAACUUUGAACCAAUAAUUAAUUUUUAUUCUCAUUCACUUGAUGGUUUUAGAAAUAUGUUUUAAAAAAGAAAAAAAACUAAGUUUUGGAUGUAACAUUAAUCUUAGGAUUCAAUUUGGUUGUGGAUUGACUUUGAUCUUACACCCUAGAUUUUAUAAUGCUAUCCUUCUAAGGAUUUGACCUUAGAUUAUGAAACUCUCUGGAACAUUCCUUUUUUAAUUUGAUUUAGUUCAUUUAAUAUUCAAGAAAUCUUUAUUGAUAUUUUAUCCCUAUUUAUUUAAAUUAUGAUUUUAUUAUCUUAAACAAAUAAUUAAUCUUUUUAAUCUAAAAACAAAUAAACACGUUAGAGAUAAUUCCAAAGGAUGACACCCCAAAAUAUUAUCAAGCCAUGGUAAUUCUAUCUCUGGUUUUUCUUAGCUAGAGUUAUCAAGUAUUUAGGUUUUAGUAUUUUAUUUUCAAUAAAGUUGAGCAUUUUUGCUCUCCUCAAUUAGUUGAGUCUAACCGCAUUAACCGGUUCUCUUGUACCUCAAUGGAUUGCACAUUUUUCAGAUUGAAUUAAGGUUGGUAAACCUCGAUUAAUAGCUCCUCAAUCUUUCAAACCUUUAAAAAUAUUUUACUCACAUUAAAACUUAGAUUUUUCCUUACAUCAAUUUUUUUCAUCUAAUUUAUAAAAGAAUGCAAAACAAUUUAGUACUUUAAUGACUUUAGGUGUUUAAGUAAAAAUGAAAUGUAAUAUGAAUUAAUAGGCCAAUAACUUUACAAAGGGAUUCUAUAAAAAUUAUCUUUAAAUACCAUUUUUUAAGGUAUUAUCCUUAUUAUUGAUUUUUUUUUUCUACUUGAUAAUUGCUUUUAUGGAAAUUUUCUUACCUAAGCACCCUUGGGAUAAAUCAUUGGUUUUCAACUUUGUUAUGUUAUCAUCAAAAUCAAAAUUAACUUCCUUAGUUUUAUAGCAUGUUGUACUACUAAGCUAAUAGCCCGUUGUGUAGGCCUCCCACCAAGGGAUCAACUAUGCUAAAAGUAAGAAGAAACACAUCCUUCUCUAUUAGCCUAAGGGUUUCCCUAAGUAUGUUUUGAUGAUAACAAAUCAUGGUUAGUUUGCUAAUGAUCAAAAAUCAAGUUAAGUUUUAAGAGUUAAUCAAGAAAAUCAAAUGAAAAAUCAAAGUGAAUCAUAAAGGAUCCAUGGAGAGCAAGAUCAAGUAUAUAUGAAGACCCAUCAAGCUUAGGAACCCUACGUAAGAUAAGUACUUGAGUGCACCUAGUAUUUCUUUUUAAGAAUGCAUCUUUUCCAUGCUCGUUUUAAGCCUUAAAAAUCAUAUUUUUAUAAACUCGAUUAUUGAUCUAAAAACCUUAGGCAAAACUACUUAAAUUUGUUUUAUAAAAGUAUUUAAAGAUGUUGUCUAAGUGUUAAAAAAAAAUGAAAUUGAAAAAGAUAGGUUUUGAGUUAAAAAUGUCCAACCGAUUGAAAAUGAGUUGAACCAACUCGACCGGUUAAGGAAUUGGUCAAUUAGUUUAAUUUCUUGGUCAAGGAGUGCAAAAACUUUCUCUUUCUUUCAAAAUGAUUGCUCUCCUAAACGAGAGAAACCUUUUCCUAGUCGAUGGUAUCUUAUUUCUCAGUUGAGGUUUAGAGGAGUCCUAACGGUCACCUAUCAAGCAUUAAAUGUCCAACAGCUAGUCAAUCGAUGUCGAACCGGAGCUUAACUGGGAAAGGCCUAUUGGUGAACCUUAUGGUGUUCGAGGUUAUAAACCUAUAAAUAAAGAGAUCUCAUUCAUUCAUGAUAUAGAGAAUACUUGCAUUCAACUCUCUAUCUACUUGUUUCUCACAUUAAAAGCUCUUUUUCAUUCUUUAGUGUAAUAAACUUUCAUUUGCAAAUCAUGCUUGGCGCACCUUUGUUUUCAUCCUAGUUUCUUUUGUACUUGCAAAUUAACUGUACUAGGAUUGAGUGAUUCCAAAUUCUCUUGAUUAAAGUAAGGUUGAGUGUUUAAUCUUCAAGUUGGGGGUAAACUUGAAUGGUUUAUAGUGCCUAUUAGAGUCGUGCAUCCAAUUGUAAGAGCAUAGAAGCUUGGUUAAAGCUUCACACUAAUUGAACGCUCACUUGGAAGGAGUUUAAGGAGAAAUGAACAUAGGCGAGAAUUGUCGAACCACUACAAACCAUGUUUGCAAUUUCUCUUACUUUUGUGUUUUUACUUUUAUUGUUCUUUUAAUUGUUACUUAGGAGUAGUUUUCAAAAAAGUUUUUAAAAUUCAAUUUACCCUCCCUUUUGACUAUUUUUCUUAGUGAAUUAGCCUUUAAUUCACAUUUUCUUUUCUUUUUUAGUUCAUGACCAUGUAAGAAGGACACGAGGAAGUAGAAAAAGAUCUUAUCAACUUGUUUCGAUUCAAAAUAAUAACCACAUGAGCUUAGCCUUACUUCACCUUUGAGAAACGAAAGAAGACAUUUCAAAAAAGUACAUAUUUAUCUUUGUUAGCCCAAGGGUUCUCCUAAUCAUGUUUUUAUAAUAACAAAUCAUGGUUAAGUUGUUAAUUGGUUUGAAUUAUAAAGAAUUUCAAGUGUUAGUUGGAAAAUUCAUCAAAGUACCUAAUUGAUGCAAGAUCAAGACAAUUGGAAGAACCUUUAAUCAUAGAAAACAUAUGUAAGAUGAAUGCAUAGGUGCACUUAGGAUUUUCAUAUAUUUUCAUGCAUCUUUAAAAACUCGAUUUAUGCAUUAGAGUUGCAUUUCCAUCAAAACCCGAGUUUUAUCAAAUGAACCUUAGAAAAAUCAUUUCAAAAUCGACAUAUUAGUUUACCUAAAGACCUUGUCUAAGUAUUAGAAGUGAAAAGAAUAGAAAAAGAUAGGUUUACAGACCAAAAAUGGUGAACCAGUCGAAGCACUAGCCAACCGGCUCAACCAGUUAGUGUAUCAGUCAAUCGGUUACACCUUUCCGGUUGAGAGAUGCAAAAAAAUUUCUCUAUCUUCUAAUAGUCUUGCAUUCCCGAUCGAGAGAUAUGCAUUCCCAAUAGAGGUCUGAUCAAGGACCGAUCGAGGCCUAACGAUCACUUUCUAUGCAUUUAUUGCCCAAUGGCUAGUCAAUCAGUUGACCCCCGACUCUUUGAGGCUAAUUUUUGACAUUUUUGGCUUUCAAAGCUAGAAACCUCUAAAUUGAGAAUUCUACUUCAUUUAUGAGUAAGAGAAUACCUACAUUUAUUUGUAUACUUACUUGUUCUUACCUCAAUAACUCUCAUUCUUUCUUUGGUGCAUUAAAUCUUUAUUUGCAUAUGCUUUAGUACACCCUUGUAAUUCAUCCUAGCAUUUGAGUUGUAUUUAAGCUUUUGUUGAGUUAGGUUGAGAUAUUUGAAUUUGUUAUUUGAGUGUUAUAAGCUUCAAGUGAGUAGAGACUUGAAGAGAUUGUGUAAAAACUCAUUGAAGUCAGAAUCCAAGUGUAAAGAUGCUAGAAGCUUGGUUGAAGCUUCAAGUAUAGUGAAACCUUCACUCGGUUAAGAGCUUGAAGAGAAUGGACGUAAGCAAGGGGUGUCAAACCACUAUAAAAUUUGAGUUUACUUCCUCUAACCUUAUCUCUUUAUAUUUGUGUUUUCUUUGCUUGAAUUUGUUAUGAUUGAAAAAUACAAAAAAUUAAAACUCAAUUCACCCCUCAUCUCGGGUGUUUUCUUCAUUAAAAUUAUCCUUUAUUUUCUUAAUCUUAAUAUUUAAAAAUCACUUUUAGAAAAUUUAAAAUUUGAGAUUUAUAUACUUUAAUUUUUUUAAAUAGUUUUAAAACUAUUACAUUUUCAAUAUAAGCAUUUAAAAUUUUUUAUAUCUUAUAUAAAAGUUAUUACUAUUUUCUAAUUUUAAAAAUGGAAAAUAGGAAUGACAUUCAAAUGAAAACUAAGUAAUUUGAUGUAUUUUAAAGUAAAGAAUAACAAAAUAAAAUAAAAUAAAAGUAAAUUUAGUUUUAUUAUGAGAAAAAAACAAGAAUGGAUGUUAUCGAAGUUAAAAAAUAAAAAGAUAAUAGAGAAAAAAAUUCUAUUAAGAGAAAAUUAAAAUUAAAAUUUUUAUUAUGGUAAAAUUAUUUUUAAAUAGGUAAAGUCAAGCAGCUUUAAAAUUUCUAAUUUUAAAGCAGUUCAAUUCAAGAUUUAAGUUAAAAAAUACAAAUUGGGUUUAAUUUUGAAUUUGGUUUUUGAAUUAAAAGAAAAUUUUAAAGGGAGCGGUUUUUUUUUCCUCCAAAAAAAUUCUUUUAACCUAUUUUUUUUCUUUAAAAAAUUAUUAUUUUUAAUGAACGGUGGCUUUGGGCCACAAAAAAGGCCUAAACGGCCCACCCCAACCCAAGAAGGCUUUGGGUAUUUUCUCGCAUUUUCUUAGAGCUCAUUUUCAAGAAAAGUCAGAGAAAAAGGGUUUAAGUCAAAGGUUUAUCCAUCGAAAUGUUUCCAGUCAAUUCACUUACAAAUUUCAAUCUCUUGGCGGUUUGAUUUUAUGAAUUAGUAAAGGAGAUUAUGAGUGUCUUUUUUUACAAUUUAUUUUCCAAAUUUAGAAGAAAACGCAGUAAAGAAACCAAUAAUUUGUUUUUCAAGUUUUGCAUUUUCUAAAUUUAUGAUAUUUUUUUGGUAUUAAUUAAAAGAUAUAUUUUGAAGAGCUCACUUCCAAUUAUGAGCUCUCACCAUCGCCAUUAUCAUUGGCCUUCAAAACAAUCAAGACGUACUUGAAGAGAGGGAUGAGGGUGAGGGUGAGGGUGUAGAAGAUGAGAGAAAGAACCCCCAGAAUAUCAUCAUUAUCUUUGACACCAUCAGUGAGAGUGCUUGCAAAUGAGUACAAAGGCGAAGUGCCAAUCUCCCCAUACACUAUUCCAAUGCUCUGAAACGCCAGGUGCAGUAUCACAGACCAGUCCUUGGUAUCCUUCAAAACAGAAAUUCAAAAGAUAAUAUAUAUAUAUAUAUAUAUAUAUAUAUAUAUAUAUAUAUAUAUAUAUAUAUUUCUUUUUCCCAAUUGCCAUGCAUGCAGAUACAUAAUAACAAGAAAAUGAUAUCAGGAAGGGGGGGGUGCAGACCCUGGAGCUAUGGUGGCUUUGGCCAUGGACAGUCCCGGUCUCCAUGUCUAAGGAGUCCAUACGACGUAGUUCUCCCCAUAAGAGUUUCUUUGAUUUGAGGCCUUGAACAUGGGUCUCGUCAGGGCUGUUUACUACAUCAGAAGACAUUUUCUAUGAUCUAUGAUCUGAAAAGGCUUUUAAUCAAACUACUUUCUGGAUGGUUUGCAGAAGGUGGAGAGGCGCCCAUUAAAGGCACAGAAAGGUCUGAAAAGAGUGACGAAGAAACGUGAAGUUCAAGGUGGGAGAUGUUGAUGGGCAACUAAAUUUUAUGCUUCUGGGUAGACAAUGGCGCGGUUUGAUUUUAUGAAUUAGUAAACGAGAUUAUGAGUGUUCUUUUUUACAAUUUAUUUUUCAAAUUUAGUAGAAAACGUGUCAUCUAAUUGAAUUUAUUUCUUGAUUGAUCUCAGAAACAGCAGGCCUCUGUGUCCAAAAAUGACGUUUGCAUUAGCACAAGUAGACGUGAGUCUGUGACCAGGCCUCUCUGUACAAAAAUAAGACUGUGCAAACACUUAGAGCUCAGCACAAACAGCUGAUUAAGAAAGCAGAGAAAGCAGAGAGUAGCAAUGGUAUCUUCAAAUUUUGCCAUGCUUUCAUUACUUCUCAUCAGCUUGAGGGACAGCUUCAGAUGCUUUUGCUUUUAAAAAUAGAGAGGUUGUUCUCCGAAUCUUGUUUUUAUUUUUAUUUUUAUUUUUAUUUUUAUUUUUAUUUUUAUUUAAGUUAUAACUUCAAAACAAUUGCCAAACAUGUAAAAAAAAAAAAUUUUAAAGUUGUUUUCUAUUUUUUAAAAACCGUUUUUAAAAAUUUCAACAAACAUGCUCUUAAUCUUACAUAAUGUUUUCAAUUUAAAAUUGUAUUUGUACUGUUUUAUUUUUUUAAUUACUAUAUAUUAUUUUGAAAAUUAGAUCGGACCCAACUGAUCGAUCGGUGGACUUUCCGAUUUGGUCCUCUCUAUUAAAUCAGACAUUUGAACCAGCCCCAAAACCGUUGAACCAACGGUUAAACCGGUGAACUGCCUGAAUUGGGUGAUUCCAUAUGACUUGAACGAUUCAAUAUUUUUUGAAUGUGGGAAUGAUUUAUGAGCUUUGAAACAUGGGGAAGGAGAUGAUCAACAAAAUGUCUCAUUAGUAUCAAGUGAUAAGGCUGCUUGUAGCUAGCUAGCAUAGCUAAAAAAAUUGUAGCAAGAGUAAUUCUCUUCUCAAGCAUGUACAGCUAAAAUUCAACCAGAAAGGCUUAGUUACAAGAAAGAAGUUUGUAGUAAAGGUACAGAUGUGGAAUGGGAAUUUAUAUUAAUUAUAUUUUGGACUUUUUAUGAUAAGUUAAAUAUAUAAAACAAAAGUCGUUUUCUUUAAUAUUUUCUUAGCAGAAAAAACAUUGGAGGUGGGAAACGGGCAGGUUUUUUAGAGUCCUCCAUUGGUUUCUCCUCGGAUAUACGGCUCUAUGCAUUUUCAAAUAUCCCCAUUGGNNNNNNNNNNNNNNNNNNNNNNNNNNNNNNNNNNNNNNNNNNNNNNNNNNNNNNNNNNNNNNNNNNNNNNNNNNNNNNNNNNNNNNNNNNNNNNNNNNNNAAGUACUCUUGCUACAAUUUUUUUAGCUAUUCUAGCUAGCUACAAGUAGCCUUGUCACUUGAUACUAAUGAGACAUUUUGUUGAUCAUCGCCUUCCCCAUGUUUCAAAGCUCAUAAAUCAUUCCCACUUUUAGCAUACGUUUGUAUGGAAUGUCAAACACCUUCUUUGUCUGUCUCAAAUUCUGCUUUAAGAUAUUUUAGCCAACAUUUAUUAGAACAUUUUUUCCUAAUUUGGAGCCCUUCUCCGCCAUCACCUCGAUCAUUCUCACCAAUCAAGUGUACCCCACCCGCUCGUGUCGCUAUGUUAGUUGCUUCAAUAUCUUUGUCAACAUCGUCUUGGUGCCUUUCUUCAUCAAUUUGAUUUGAUUCUUCACUCUCAUUCUCACCAUCAAUCGACCCAUCUUGCAGCUCUCUAGAAACCAUGUCUUGUGUUAAUGUCAAGGUCAUCAUCAUUUUUUCUCUUAUAAACUCCUUCAAUCUUUCAACCAACAAUCUCUCAAAAGGCUCUUCCUUGCACGUCAGUGUACCCAUACCUCACCACACACCAAAACACAAAGAUCGUCUGGGUCUACCCUGCGGAAGAAGAAUCGUCCCUCCAUUGAAACCUUGCUUAAAACUCACCUAAAGGAUUUGAUAUUAGGUAAAAGCCCAACCCAAACAACCCUUAAUGUGUCAUACCUUAAUUUAUGUGUUCUCAAGACCUACAACCUAGCAAAACACAUAGAAGGCCACUUAGGUUGCAUGCACUUUAUCACUUAAAAUGAAAAUAAAAAAAUGUAUAUGUUUCUAAAAUAUUUAUAUUAUUAAAAAAUAAUAUAAUAUUUUCUAAAAUUCUAAAAUUAGUUAAAAUUAAAUAAUUAAUUUUUCUUCAUUUUGAAUAUAUUAACGUUUAAAUAUUAUACAUAUUUCAUUUAAUAAAAUUCAAAAUAAUAAUAUAUUUAUACUUAUUUUUUAUAAUAUCAAAGAUAAAAUUUUAUUAUUAUUAAUAAUUUAUUUAUUUAUUUAAAUUUUUAAUUCUUUUAAAUUUUAAUAAUAUAAAUUAUAUAUUUAUGACAUCAUCAAUUCGACUAGACCAUCGAUCUGAUUACUAAACCAUGAACCAUAACUUUUUCGAUUUAAAGACCAAUCUCUAUCUAUCUCAAAUUCUUCUUCAAGAUAUUGUAGCUAACAUUUAUCAAAACAUUUUCUCCUAAUCUAGAGCCCUUCUUCACUAUCACCUCAAUUUCAUCGAUCAAGUGCACCACACGCGGUCCUGCCGCUCUGUCAAUUGCUUAAAUAUCUUUGUCAACAUCCUUUUGGCGCAUUUCUUCAUCAAUUUGCUUUGAUUAUUUGCUCUCAUUCUCACCAUCAAUCAACCCAUCUUGUAGCUCUCCAAAAACCAUGUCUCCAUUACUGUGUUUUAAUGUCGGGGUCAUCAUCAUCUCUUCUCUUAUGAACUCCUUCAUUCUUCCAACCAUCAAUCUCUCAAAAAGUUCUUCCUUGAAUCACACGUCGGUGUACCCAUACCUCACCACACACCAUAACACAUAAGAUCAUCUAGGUCUACCAUGCGGAAGAGGAAUCAUUCCUCCAUUGGAACCUUGCUUAAAAGUCAAACCUAAACACCCUCUCAUGUGUCAUACCUUAAUUUAAGGUGUUGUAGAAGUGGCUUGUUGAGUUACCAAUUAGGUUUCAUGAUUUUAAGGAUUGGAACUCAAGACCUAAGACCGAGCAAAACACAUAGAAAACCACUUAGGCUACGUGCACUUUAUCACUUAAAAUGCAAAUAAAAAAAAUGUAUAUGUUUCUAAAAUAUUUAUAAUAUUAAAAAAAUAAUAUUAUAUUUUCUAAAAUUCUAAAAUUGGUUAAAAUUAAAUAAUUAAUUUUUCUUCAUUUUGAAUAUAUUGACAUUUAAAUAUUAUACAUAUUUCAUUUAAUAAAAUUCAAAAUACUAAUAUAUUUAUACUUAUUUUUUAUAAUAUCAAAGAUAAAAAUAUAAUAUUAUUCAUUAUUUAUUUAUUUAUAUAUUUUUAAAUUUUUAUUAUUUUUAAUUUUAAUAAUAUAAAUUUUUUAUAUAUGACAUCAUCGGUUCGACUAAACCACCCGUCUGAUUACUAAACCAUGAACCAUAACUUUUUUGGUUGAAUGACCAAUCUCUGUUUGUCUCAAAUUCUUCUUCAAGAUAUUGUAUCCAACAUUUAUCAAAACAUUUUUUCCUAAUUUGGAGCCCUUCUUCGCCAUUACCUCAAUCACACCUGCUCAUGCCGCUUUGUCAAUUGCUUCAUUAUCUUUGUCAACAUCCUUUUGCCGCAUUUUUUCAUCAAUUUGCUUUGAUUCUUCGCUCUCAUUCUCACCAUCAAUCAACCCAUCUUGCAGCUCUCUAGAAACCAUGUCUCCAUUACUAUGUGUUAAUGUCGGGGUCAUCAUCAUCUCUUCUCUUAUGAACUCCUUCAAUCUUUCAAUCAGCAAUCUCUCAAAAGGCUCUUACUCGAAUCUCACGUCGGUGUACCCAUACCUCACCACACACCGGAACACGUAAAGAUCAUCUGGGUCUACCUUGCGGAAGAGGAAUCCUUCCUUCAUUGGCACCUUGAUUAAAACUCACCUAAAGGAUUUGAUAUUAGGUAAAAGUCCAACCCAAACACCCUUUUAUGUGUCAUACCUUAAUUUACGUGUUGUAGAAAUGGCUUGUUGAGUUAGCAAUCCACAUCCCACGUAGGAUUCAUGAUUUUAAGGAUUUGAACUCAAGACCUACAAUCAAGCAAAACACAUAGAAGACCACUUAGGUUGCAUGCACUUUAUAUGUUUCUAAAAUAUUUAUAAUAUUAAAAAAUAAUAUUAUAUUUUCUAAAAUUCUAAAAUUAGUUAAAAUUAAAUAAUUAAUUUUUCUUCAUUUUGAAUAUAUUGACAUUUAAAUAUUAUACAUAUUUCAUUUAAUAAAAUUCAAAAUACUUAACAUAUUUAUACUUAUUUUUUAUAAUAUCAAAGAUAAAAAUAUAAUAUUAUUCAUUAUUUAUUUGUUUAUAUAUUUUUAAAUUUUUUAUUCUUUUUAAUUUUAAUAAUAUAAAUUUUAUAUAUAUGACGUCAUCAGUUCGACUAGACCACCGAUCUAAUUACUGAACCAUGAACCAUAACUUUUUUUGGUUUAAUGACCAAUUUUUGUCAAUCUCAAAUUCUUCUUCAACAUAUUCUAGCCAACAUUUAUCAAAACAUUUUUUCCUAAUUUAGAGCCCUUUUUUGCCAUCACCUCAAUCAUACCUGCUCGUGUCACUCUGUCAAUUGCUUCUUUAUCUUUGUCAACAUCUUAUUGGCGCAUUUCUUCAUCAAUUUGCUUUGAUUAUUCGCUCUCAUUCUCACUAUCAAUCAACCCAUCUUGCAGCUCUCUAGAAACCAUGUCUCCAUUACUAUGUGUUAAUGUCAGGGUCAUCGUCAUCUCUUCUCUUAUGAACUCCUUUGAUCUUUCAACCAACAAUCUCUCAAAAGGCUCUUCCUCGAAUCGCACGUUGAUGUACCCAUACCUCACCACCCACCGAAACACAUAAAGAUUGUCUGGGUCUACCGUGCGGAAGAGGAAUCAUUCUUCCAUUGGAACCUUGCUUAAAACUCACCUAAAGGAUUUGAUAUUAGGUAAAAGCCCAACCCAAACACCCCUUAAUGUGUCAUACCUUAAUUUAAGGUGUUGUAGACAUGUCUUAUUGUGUUAGCAAUGCGCAUCCCAUGUAGGAUUCAUGGCUUGUUGAGUUAGCAAUCCACAUGCCACAUAGGAUUCAUGAUUUUAAGGAUUUGAACUCAAGACCUACAACCAAGCAAAACACAUAGAUGGCCACUUAGGCUGCACUUUAUCACUUAAAAUGCAAAUAAAAAAAAUGUAUAUGUUUCUAAAACAUUUAUAAUAUUAAAAAAAUAAUAUAAUAUUUUCAAAAAUUCUAAAAUUAAUUAAAAUUAAAUAAUUAAUUUUUCUUCAUUUUGAAUAUAUUGACAUUUAAUAUUAAACACAUGUCAUUUAAUAAAAUUCAAAUUAUUAAUAUAUUUAUACUUAUUUUUUAUAAUAUCAAUGAUAAAAAUUUAAUAUUUAAAUUAAUUGCAUAUAUAUACAUGUGUGUGUGUAUGUAUUUUGUUAUUUUAAAAUUUUUAAAACUAUUAUAUUAAUUAAUUUAUAUUAUUUUUAUAUUUAUAAUUAAUAAUUAUUAUAUCAAUAAUGGUAGAUAUAAAUAUUCAUAUUUAUUUAAAUGUUCUAUAUGAUAAAAAUUUAAAAAUAUAUACAUAUUUUCCAUGCUAUUGACCAAAUAGCUUGUAAGUUGGUGGUCCUCCAACUCAUUAUGUAAACCACGUCCCAGGUUUCAAUUCUACAAAGCAUUUAUGUAGUAUUUAUACCUUCACAUCACAGGAGAAAGUAAAUUGCCAUAGAAUACAGGCUUGGAAUGAAGCGAGAAAUGAGCUAGAAAAUUGUGGAAACCCAUGUGGAAUUUUGGUUAAACCAUAAUUGACUGGUUCGUGAAAAACCUGCAGACAGUUUGUUCGAUUCAGCGAUUGAACUAUCGAUUCAUUAGGUCCAACAAGGGUUCAACCUCUGGACAGUCUAUUUCAUCAGAUCGGACUGAAAAGGCCAUCAGUCGAUGGUUAAACUGGCCGGUCUGAUCCUGUUUUCAAAACAAUAAAAUUAGGGUUGAAUGACACGUGAAAAAUAAUUUAUACAAUAUAAUGCUUCACUUAUAUUUAAAAUAGAACUCUUUCUCGUUCAAUAUAAGAGUUGAAAGCCACUAGAUAUAAUUUGAAUACUGAUUGACCAACCAAUUGAUCAACUGCUAAUCAUCAAGGUUACCAAAUCCUAACUAAUUCAACCGAUUGAGACCUAGGUUACAUAAAACAAGGCUAUAAGAAGCCAUGAUGAACAUAAGGAUUCAAAGAGAGUUCUAACAGUAUUUACCUAGCUAUGAUGAACAGACAACAAAAGCAUGCUAGUUGCAAAAGAAACUAUGAUUCAAGAACAUUUUAUGAAUGAGUUUUAUUUACAGAUAUUGACAGAAAACACCAGGAACUGUAUGUUAAAAGUAAUACAACUCCAGAAAUAUAUUGGCCAUUAUUGGAAUGAAUGACCCUUAUAAAAAAAUAAAAAGAGGUGCUGCAUUCUGUACUCUUGCACCUUGUUCAACACCCAAGAAAUAAAUAAAUAAAAAGGAAGAAGAGGAAGAAGGAGAAGAAGAAGGAACAAAGAUAUUCAGAACAUAUUUCUACAAUUAAAAAAUUUAACAGUCAGAUAUCAAUUCCCAUCUUAAGCCUAAUGCUAGAUAAUAGGCAAAAACAUAAUAUACAAAAGAUAAUAAUUAACAUUUUGAAGCCAAAGGCUAAUAUAAGAUUAUCACUCAAUUCGAAAUUUUACCACUUAUUACUUAUGACAUUAUUUUAAUAUUGGAGAUCAAAGUUCUGAAACAGGAUAAACUACUUAGUAUUUUAAAACAUUAUGCAGUCUUUAAUGGAUGUUGUCUCACGUAUCUCUCCCCUUUAAAAAAGCCAAUUAUUUUGCUGAACUGUUAGGUCCACGAUGACUAAUGAUUGCACUUAGCACUCAAUAGUUCUUGCUUUAUGUUCUUUAUCAAACAGCCAAUAGAAGAAGAUGAUCAUUCUUAGUUAUCAGACAAACGCUGAACCUAAAAAUACAAAAUAAUAGAACUUGAUGCUUACACUGAAUUUAAUGGGGAGAAUAACCUUAUUGAAAUGGACACGACUCAUUUUGGGACUGAAACGCUAAUAGAUUUUCAGUGGUCAUGGAUAAAGGUUUACAUUAGACAAUUUGAAGCAAGUUUCAUCCUUAUUAGGUUCAACCAACUAUAGCAGCAAUCAUUUAUAACACACAAAAUCUCCAAGCAUAUGGAGACUAGAAGGAUCAAGGUCAGUCAAAAUUCAUAUCUGAACUUUAAUCUGGAAGUUCAGAUAGAAGUUAGUCUUUAAUGAAUUUGUUAAAAAGUGUGUAGUAAAAAAUCCACACAUUUCAAUCAAAUUGACAACCUCUCAAUCAAGAACUUUCAUUUCCAAGAAAAAUCAAAGAUACAGCCCUUUGAAAUGAAACACAAAUAAAGUUACAUGAAAUACACCAGCAAUCUCAGAUAUUAAAAGUCUCAGGUACAUAUAAUGGCUAUAAACCAUUAUUAUAAAAUUUUCUGCAUAUAAGAACACCUAUAGUAACAGAAACAAGAACUGAAAAAGCUCCCUGCCUUGAAAGCCCAAAUUCAGUCCAUGUCAAGGGCCUUUUGACCUGAAAUAAUACAUUCUGGAACAGUUCAUUCAGAUCCUCCAGCGACCCAGUGUUCUCCUCUUCAAAUCCAGUGACAUCUGGGCAUUUAUCCUGUUUCUGGCAUCCUCCUCGGACGUCCUAUCCCUUGCCAACAGUCGCUGAAGUUGUGUUUCAGGAUCAACCCAUACAACAAUAAUGGGUUUUGUCCAGCCGUCCAUCUUGGCCUCAAACAACAAAGGGACAUCAAGAACAAUAACCUUAAACCCCUUCAUCCAUAGCUUGAAAACUUCCCAAAAAAUACCAGAUGAUAUAAAAGGGGCCAGUAGCCUAAAAAUGUAUAUAAAAACAAGAGUAAAAACUCAUAUAAUUGCAUCUUCAUUACAAGUUAAGGCAAUGAAUUAUGAUCAACUGACACUCAAAAAGAUUUAUUGUCUGCAAAUUGAUCUAUGAAAAUUCCAAACUCUUAAGAGAAAAAAUACACUAAUUCCACUAAGUUAUCUGAGUUGAAGUAUUUCAAUAGGUUAUAAGACUAAUACUUCCCUAUCAUGCAAUUAAGAAAAGAUUGGAUACACAUCUCUGUUGCAUAGAAUUGUAAACAUUUAUCAUUUUUAUCUUCAGGCAUUCAGAAGUAAACUUCGGUGGCGUUUGUUUUUUUGGCUUUUUGCUGAAAACAAUUUGCUUUCAGAAUUUAGGUUGUUUGUUUUUUUAAUUUUUGAUGACUUAUUACUGAAUUUUUAAAAUUUUUGACUAAAUAAAAAAAGCUAAAAUAUUUGGCUUUUUCUAUUUAGAAAAAGCCAAUUUUUUAAACCUUUACCAAAUGCGAUUGAACCCGAACCCGACGCCCAAACCUACCCACCCAUCCCUUGUAGCUCUCUGCAACCCCGAUCCUCAACCCUCACCUCAUCCCAAAGCAAUAAUUUCUUCAUUCUCCUCCUCCAUCGCUCUCCUUCCGGGACUAUAGAGUUGGAAAGAAGCUCCUCUUUCAUUCAGCAUCGUUGAUCUAAUCGAAGGUAACUGACCCAAAUUUAUUUUGGUUUUAGGAUUUCAAUAGAGCAUUCGAGUCUCAUUUUCCAGUACUUCUCUUUCUAAAACUCUCAUUUUCAAUAGAGCAUUCUGGUUCACGUGUUGCAGGUCCGUUUAUUUUUUUAGGAAGAAAAACUUUGUUUGGUGAUAUCUUAUUAUUUAGAGCCUAUUUGAUAUGGUUGUUGUCUCGUUGUUAAUUUGGGUUUGUUUGAUUGUUGUGAUUUUUGUGGUUUGUUGGGUUAUUUUUUAAGGAAGAAAAAUGUUGGGUUUAAUCUUAUUGAUUUCAUAUUAUAGUUUGUUGAGUAGAGCAUUUGUGCUCAAACUGUUUGUUAGAAUGCCCAUGAGAGUUCUUAAAUAACGUGGAAUACCCCCUCCAAAUGAUUGAACGCCAUUGAAAGUUGUUGCAGAGAUGAAAGGUUUCCCUGAAUGUUGGGGGUUUAUAGGAUUUUUUGAGUCCUCUUUGUAAGGUUGGAGGGGUUUGGAUCAUCCAAAAAUGGCUCCUACACUUGCCUACUGCCAAGCUCUUUGUAAGGUUGCAAUCGCCUUGAAAAGGGAUGAUUCCAUUUUCUUAGCUUUUGCUCCCUGUCCCUGAUGAAUUUUUCAGAGGAGUUUCAGCAAGGAUGAGAGCCGAUGCUUCACAGCCCUUCCAGAAACUGGGAAUAAAUAGAGAAAUUGAGUGUCAAAUGUGGGGAUGACAAGACCAAGUUUUCUUCCCGGAGGGAAAGCAUCUAACAGCUUCUCAACAUUUUCUAGGAAAUCAUCCAUCAACCAUUCAGCAUCUUCUUAGCCAUUGACCAAACUUCUACUUCAUUAGCCGUCGUAGAUACAAUGACAUACAUGUUGACUUGGUCAAUUGUUCAAGCUUAACCUAUGACUUUGGUUUUAAUUUAUUGUUCAAGAGAUUUUGAUUUUAGAUAAAUUAAAUUGGUUGGUGGAAUGAUGAUAUGUUAGAGCAACAAUAUGUUAGAGCUAGAGUGCCAAAAUUGGAGAUGUCCUGUGCCAAAAUUAGAGCAACUUCUCUAAUGUCCAGCCAUGUGACUAGCAGACAAGGACGACUCCUCUACCAACCAUGAGUCCAGCCAUGUGAACAUCUAGCAUAGUGACUUAUCAAGUGAGCAAACGCUAAGAAAAUGGAAUCAUAAUCUGUUCCCCACUCCAAUGCCAAGCUCUUGUUACCCUGUUUUACCCUUCCUUAAGUCAUUAGCAGCUGGAUUUUUAAGAAUGGUAUGCCUCCCAUUGCCAAAGAAAUUGGUAAUUCAAAUCAUUCCUUUCUUUUUCCACAAAGAUCAAGAUGGCUUUACAGUUCCUGUGAGCCCAGAAACCAAUUAUAGAGGAACCUAAUUCUAAAAUAAUUUGGCAUCUGAAAUGUUUAGUUUUACAUGAGCAGUGAUUUUUUUAUACAAUAUCCACUCAAUUUGCUGAGAACCCAAUUUGUUACCAAGAAGCAAUGAGGUUCCAGAAUCUUAAAGAUGGAUCAAAGGCAUGAGGCUCAAACAGAGCAUCUCCUCAUAUCAUUUUCUUCUUAAACCCCAAUGCUGAUUUUGGAGUUUUUAACAUAAUGCCAGGGUUUCUAUUGAAAAUGAGAAAUCUUGUGCCUCCUCUCUGAUUGUGGUCCCAUUUUUUUAUUUCUUUUUUCCUUUUCAGUCCUCUAACUUGUAAUUAUUAUGCCUCAGCUGUUUAAAGUCUGUUUAGUAAAAUCCAGUAUCUUUUUCUGUUGCUUAGUUGCUGUCUUACUUACCAUGCUUUCUUACUUCCCUAAUUCAACCCUAAAUCCAAAUUUAUCAUUUUCUAUUAUUAUUGUUAUUAUUUGUUAUUCCAACAUUAGUCAAAGGCCCUCACAAUAAAUAUAUGGAAAUUCUCAAUUCAUAAUAACUCUUUUGUUCUUUUAGAAUAACUAUAAAACGCAAUAGAAGGGUGGUAGAUGGUAGGUGGUGGUGUACGAGUGCCACGAGGCUAAGUGGCAGACAAAUAUUUAAAAAGAUAAAAAUUUAUCUUUUUAUCUUUUAGAAUAACUCCUCUUGUUCUUAUGAACAAGGCAGGAUAUAUAAAAAAAAAAAAAAAAUGAAGGGGAAAAAGAAAGCCUCCAUUAAUUCACACACUUAUCAGAUCCUACACAUUCAAUUCACCCUCCCCACCCAACAAGGAAAAGAACAUACACGACGAUUAUGGCAGAUUAUACACAUGGACAACACAGGCAGGAUGUGAUUCUUGCUGUAAACAUACGCAACAUCACUUUUACUCCAAGUUCCAAUCCAAAAUAGAUCCUCAAAAUGAGCCAUAUAUGCAUAUGUACCUAUCACCUCUUCUUCCGCCUAUACAUUAAAUAGAAGCUCCAUCAUUUACAAAGAAACAAUCUACAGAUCUCUGUACCCAAAACUUAGGUCCUGGCAGGUUAAUCAAUGCAGAUGGAAUGAGAUCAGCUGUCAUAGGUGUAGGGACACGCAGCACGUGUUAUCAGCCGAACCAUCAUCAUCUGGAUUCCCUUAAGGAUACGCAUGAUGAUGGUUCUCCUAUCCGGACCGCCUCAAGGAAAAGCACAUGACGUUUCAGCUUCUUCUGUCCAAGGAAGAGCAAACGACGCUGACAGAGCAUAGACAUCCGGACAACCUUCAUAAUGUAUCCGCUCCACUAUACAAUCCAGAUAGUCAGCAUGUGACCAUCCGGAUUUAAUCGUCCGGAUCAUCAAUUAAAGUAAAGCAAGUCUUACACGCUAUCACGACAACCAGCCAUGACCCACGUCCCAUCAUCUGUAGAGUGAAAGGACGGGUCGAGGUGACAACAAGUCACUUCCCGCGAUCAUUCUACAUGAUCAUUUCCCACGAUAUCUAGACAGCAGCAUCACCUACCACGGUUUCUGACAGCCGCCAGUAGGGUGGUGAUGACCAUGCUGCCUCCGAAUGUCAUCAUGACAAACAUAAAAUAUCUCAUCGCCAUUAAUGAGAGGAACAGUACCCCUGAAGCUGUAUAUAUAUACCUUCGCACGAAGAAGGAAGGGAUCCCCCCCUGAUAACUUCUUAAUACCUGGUAAAAGGCCAACUGAUUUGUACCUCUCGCUCUGAUCAUGGCUAACAAAACCAUUGGAGGGUGCGUCCGGACACCUUGUCCGGAUGCCUUCUUGCAGGUAUAACGACUGGAUCAAGAACCUGUAUAAGUUGAAAUCACGCGUCCAUCCAUCUGGCAACUACGUGGAUCCUCAAACACGCGAGGUAACAACAUUGGCGCCGUCUGUGGGAACUUUUCUUUACUUUGAUUCAGUCACUAAAAAAAAAAAAAAAAAAUGGCCACACCUUCCCAAAGUCGUUCAUCUGGUAGGGGAGAGGAUGAUAAUUUUGAAUGGCGUCUAGUCAUCGAAAGGAGACAGCUGGCAAGCGAAAGACAGCUAAAAGCUCUCCUUCAGGAGACAAAAAGAUUGAGAGAAGAAAACGUUGUGUUACGUAUCCAGGCUUCAACAUCAGAGCCUCCUCGACGUCAACGUUCGAGGGGCCAAGUAGCAAACUCAAGGCCUCAGCAAGAACCGGAGUCAAUAUACCCUGGGACAACAGGGGCAAUCCCAGGGGCAUGCAACGUGAGGCCUCAUGAACCACGCACGCCUAUGCCUCGAGCUCCCCAUGAGGAAAGCUCAGACUCUACUCACUUUUCAGCAAAAAGGCAACGUGAUAAAAAGUCGCGGUUGUCAAAUUCGAUGCGUGCAAGACUAGGCCCGCAAGAGCCUAGAAGAUCAAGGCCACCUAUGGCCACAACCUGGGCACCACGCCCUGACCCCAUGGCAACCCCCAUGGUGCAAAACGUUCACCCGCAUCGUGACCCCAUAGUCACCCCCGUGAUGCGGAACGUCCAUCUGCACCCAGCGGAACAGCCAACUGGGAGAAACAUCCCAAACGGGCCACCCGUUGGCUCCAUCAGCAAAAGGUUGGAUGACAUGCUCUUCACGCCUUUCUGCUCUCAUAUCAUUAACUAUGAGCCCCCAAGGGGAUUCCUCGUACCAAAAUUUUCCACAUACGAUGGAACCAACGAUCCCUUCGAUCACAUCAUGCAUUAUCGACAGCUCAUGACGCUCGAUAUUGGCAACGAUGCGCUGCUAUGCAAAGUAUUCCCCGCCAGCCUACAGGGACAGACCCUCUCAUGGUUUCAUCGCCUACCUCCCAACUCUGUUGGCAAUUUCAGGGACCUGUCCGAAGCUUUCGUGGGACAAUACUUGUGCUCCGCUCGACACAAACAGAAUAUCAGCACCCUCCAGAACAUAAAAAUGCGAGAUAACGAAUCCUUGAGGGAAUUUGUGAAACGAUUUGGCCAGGCCGUACUUCAAAUAGAGGCUUGCAGCAUGGACGCGGUCCUACAGAUCUUCAAACGAAGCAUCUGUUCAGGCACUCCAUUCUUCGAAUCACUGGCCAAAAAACCUCCUACAAUAAUGGAUGACUUAUUCAGAAGAGCCAACAAAUAUUCAAUGCUCGAAGAUGACGUACGUGCAGCCACCCAACAAGUUUUGGUUGCCGGACGGCCAUCCGGAAGUAAUACGGAGAGAAAUACCAAACCUCCGGAUCGGCCAAAGCCAUCUGACCGAAGGCAGGAAGGGCCAAGUCGCCCGGAAAUGCCGCCUCUCACACCUCUUUCUAUAUCAUAUGAGAAACUUCUCCCAAUGAUCCAAGGCUUGUCCGACUUCAAGUGGCCUAGACCCAUUGCAACGGACCCAUCUACAAGGGAUCGUAGCAGGAGAUGUGCCUUCCACAAGGAUCAUGGCCAUACAACAGAGACGUGCCGAUCUUUCCAGUAUUUGGUCGAAAGACUCAUAAAAGCUGGGCAUUUGAAGCAAUACCUCCGCAUGGAUACUGGGGGUAGGGACGUUUCCCAGCACAACAACCCUGGAGCCCCUAGGGCCCCAGUUGCCACCAAGGUCGUUAUCAACUAUAUUAACGGAGGACCAUCUGAAGAGGAGUAUGACUCCAGGCGGAAAAGGCAAAAAUUGUUGCGGGCUGCAUCAAUACGCGAACGCAUUAAUUCCAUCCGGCCGGGUCUAACUGGAGAGGGGCCUCGCCCCAUAGAUGGAACAAUAAUUUUUCCACCAGUAGAUCCCACCCGGACACUACAACCACAUCGCGACGCCCUCAUCUUGUCCUUGGAAAUUGGGGACUUCGAUGUGCGACGUAUCUUAGUUGACCCAGGCAGUUCGGCCGACCUGGUGCAAGCAUUAGUCGUUGGCCGCAUGGGACAUAGUCUCGCGGGCCUUGAAAACCCAGGACGAAUCUUAUCUGGAUUCAACGGAUCAUCAACCACAUCCUUGGGAGAUAUCAUACUGCCAGUCCAAGCUGGCCCAGUCACUCUCAAUGUACAGUUUUCAGUAGUACAGGAGCUAUCACCCUUCAAUGUCAUUUUGAGGCGCACAUGGCUCCACUACAUGAAAGCUAUCCCCUCUACAUACCAUCAAAUGGUGAGUUUUCUCACCAACGAUGGCCAAAUCGACCUAUAUGACAGCCAAUUAGCCGCUCGCCAAUGCUAUCAAAUAGCACGCGAAGCAGGGGCUAACCAGGAGGAUGUAUCUCCCCCUGAACCCAGCAUUGCACACGACCAAUAGCAAUUAUUGGGUCCGACGGACAAAGAUCCCCCGGCAGUAGAUCCCUUACAAACAAUCCAAAUUUCGGAGGAAAACGACCACCUCACGAACAUCAGUUCCCUCAUGACACAAGAAGAAACUCAAGGCAUGCAAAAUAUCCUCAGACAGAACCAUGACAUCUUCGCGUGGGCACAUUCUGACAUGAAGGGAAUUCAUCCCUCCAUUGCAUCUCACAGGCUUAACGUCUUUUCAACUGCCAGACCCGUCCGACAGAAGAUUAGGCGCUUCCACCCGGAUAGACAAAGAGUCAUCCGGAACGAGAUUGACAAAUUGCUCGAAGCCGGAUUCAUCAGAGAGGUUUCUUAUCCGGAUUGGUUGGCAAACGUAGUCGUGGUACCCAAAAAAGAAGGAAAAUGGAGAGUUUGUGUAGAUUACACCAAUCUCAACAAUGCGUGUCCAAAAGACAGUUUUCCCUUGCCGCGAAUAGAUCAGAUUGUGGAUUCCACUUCCGGGCAAGGGAUGCUCUCUUUCUUGGAUGCCUUCUCCGGAUAUCAUCAAAUCCCCAUGUCCCCGGAUGACGAAGAAAAAACAGCAUUCAUAACGCCACAUGGCCUCUAUUGUUAUAAAGUCAUGUCAUUCGGACUCAAAAAUGUUGGCGCCACUUAUCAAAGAUUGAUGACUAAAAUCUUCAAACCUCUGAUAGGCCACUCGGUAGAGGUAUAUAUUGACGAUAUCGUAGUCAAAAGCGAAACUCGAGAACAACAUAUCCUUCAUUUGCAAGAAGUUUUUUACCUCUUACGAAAGUAUGGCAUGAAGCUAAAUCCUUCCAAAUGCGUCUUUGGCGUGAGUGCCGGCAAAUUUCUAGGAUUUAUGGUCAGUCAAAGGGGCAUAGAAGUCAGCCCGGAUCAAGUCAAGGCAGUCAUGGAAACACCUCCCCCCAGGAACAAGAAAGAGUUACAGCGCCUCACAGGCAAACUCGUUGUGUUAGGGCGUUUCAUAGCCCGCUUCACUGAUGAGUUGCGACCCUUCUUCUUGGCGAUACGAAAAGCUGGAACGCACGGGUGGACGGGCAAUUGCCAAAACGCUUUGGAAAGAAUUAAACAUUGUCUUAUGCAACCACCCAUAUUGAGCAGCCUCAUCCCAAAGGAGAAAUUAUACAUGUAUCUGGCAGUGUCAGAAUGGGCAAUCAGUGCCGUUCUAUCCCGCUGCCCAUCACCCAAGGAGCAGAAGCCCAUCUACUAUGUCAGCAGGGCAUUGGCAGAUGUGGAAACCAGAUAUUCAAAAAUGGAGCUAACAGCCUUAGCCCUUCGAAGCGCUGCCCAAAAGCUCCGGCCCUAUUUUCAAGCCCACCCGGUGAUCGUGUUGACUGAUCAACCCCUUCGCAGCAUUCUGCACAAGCCAGAUUUAAUCGGGAGAAUGCUACAAUGGGUCAUCGAAUUAAGCGAGUUUGGAAUAGAAUUCCAACCAAGGUUGUCCAUGAAAGGCCAGGUAAUGGCUGACUUCGUGCUAGAAUAUUCCCGAAAACCCGGCCAGCAUGAAGAAUCAAGUAAAAAAGAAUGGUGGACUCUGCGAGUUGACGGAGCCUCACGUUCAUCAGGCUCUGGAGUUGGGCUCCUACUACAGUCCCCAACUGGGGAACAUUUGGAGCAAGCCAUCCGGCUGGGAUUUCCUGCCUCAAACAAUGAAGCAGAAUAUGAGGCCAUCCUGUCCGAAUUGGACCUCGCCCUUGCUCUAGCCGUCUCCAAACUCCGGAUCUUCAACGACUCACAACUCGUGGUAAAACAUGUCCAGGAGGAAUAUGAGGCUAAGGACGCACGCAUGGCGCGAUACUUAGCUAAAGUAAGAAACACCUUGCAGCAAUUCACUGAAUGGACAAUCGAAAAAAUCAAGCGAGCUGACAAUAGGCGCGCUGACGCUUUGGCCGGCAUAGAUGCCUCCCUCCCUAUCAAGGAAGCCAUUCUACUGCCCAUACAUGUGCAAACCAACCCCUCUGUCUCAGAAAUUUCAAUCUGCAAUACCAUUAAAGCACCCCAAGCGGACGGCCAAGAAUGGAUGAAUGAUAUCACAGAAUAUAUCCGGGCAGUAACUCUACCCGGAGAUCUCAAACAGGCACACAAAAUCUAGGUGCAAGCUGCCCGUUUUACCUUAAUUGGGGGGCACUUGUACAAACGAUCCUUCACAGGACCAUACCUUCGGUGCCUAGGACACUCAAAGGCCCAAUAUGUGUUGGCUGAGUUACAUGAGGGAAUAUGCGGAAAUCAUUCGGGAGAACGAUCUUUGGCACAUAGGGCUCAUUCGCAAGGAUACUAUUGGCCAACAAUGAAGAAAGACGCGGCAACAUAUGUCAAAAAAUGUGAUAAAUGUCAAAGGUACGCUCCCAUUCCACAUAUGCCAUCAACAACGUUAAAAUCAAUCUCAGGUCCAUGGCCCUUCGCACAGUGGGGCAUGGACAUAGUGGGACCUCUCCCAGCUGCACCUGCCCAAAAGAAAUUUUUGCUUGUUGCCACAGAUUAUUUCAGUAAGUGGGUGGAAGUUGAAGCAUAUGCUAGCAUCAAAGACAAGGAUGUCACCAAGUUUGUAUGGAAAAAUAUUAUCUGCCGUUUUGGAAUUCCCCAAACCAUUAUAGCCGACAAUGGUCCACAAUUUGAUAGCAUUGCAUUCAGAAAUUUCUGUUCGGAGCUGAAUAUCCGGAACUCAUACUCCACACCACGGUAUCCUCAAAGCAAUGGGCAAGCAGAAGCCACAAACAAAACCCUAAUCAAUGCCCUAAAGAAAAGGCUUGAGCAAGCUAAAGGGAAGUGGGUGGAGGAGCUACCCGGUGUCCUAUGGGCCUACCGAACUACACCCGGACGGCCAACAGGAAAUACUCCUUUCGCUCUUGCAUAUGGAAUGGAUGUCGUCAUUCCUACCGAAAUAGGUCUCCCUACUAUCCUGACCGACGCAGCAAAACAAAAUGAUGCAAACAUGGAAUUAGGAAGAAAUUUGGAUUGGACGGAUGAAGUGAGGGAAAGUGCGGCCAUCCGGAUGGCAGAUUAUCAACAAAGGGCAUCAGCACAUUACAAUCGUAAAGUGAAGCCAAGAAGCUUAAAAAAUGGUACGCUAGUCCUUAGAAAAGUUUUUGAAAAUACUACUGAAGUGGGUGCAGGGAAGUUCCAAGCCAACUGGGAAGGACCUUAUAUAGUGUCUAAAGCAAGUGACAAUGGAGCAUAUCAUUUACAAAAGCUAGACGGAACUCCAUUACUUAGACCAUGGAAUGUGUCUAAUUUAAAGCAAUAUUAUCAAUAAGAGAGCCAAGACGAGUUCAGAUGAGAAAAGAAAUAUUUUUAUUGAUAUAGCUAAAAAUAUGUACAAAGAGGUCUCCGGACCACAAAAAAUACAGAAGGAAGAUUACAGAAGAAGUUACAAAAAGAGAUAAACUAUCAGGGAGCAGGCUUGUCAUGUAGUUUCUUUUCUUCACCCGGAGGAAUUGAAGGCACGUCCCGCCUGAUACAGUUCUUCUUCAUGCAGCACCGAUACCCAAAGAUGAACGUAUCAUCCACUUGUUUUUGAUAUUCUGCUUCAAUUUCCUUCCUCUCUGCAGCAAACUCCCGUUCUAGCUCCUCUUUUUGUGCAACCAAGCGCAGCUGCAAAUCUUCCCUCUGUUUCCUUUCGAUAGAAACUUCUGUUCGGAGUUGCCUCACCUCCCCCUUCAGACCGACCACCUCAUCUGCUGCCUCAAGCAGACGGGCAUCCAUUGAUUCCUCCCGGGUCUUUGCGUCAGCCAAAUCUGCCCGGAGGGCCUCAUUCUCCCUCCGGGCGGUGGAUAUGCUGGCUUCAGCCUCCGCCAGUCUCAGACGCAACUGAUCUUCAGCAUCUUUGUGCCAAGUGGCGAAGGCCUUCACAUAAUCAGUAGUCCGGAGCAAGUCAGUGAAAAGAUCGUACUGAUUGGCCAUGCCACGAAGACCACUCACCAGCUGCAAACAAAUAGCCAAGCAAGAAAAGCAAAGUUAGAAAUCACACAUCAGAAUGACAAUCAAAAAGCACAAAAACAGUUUUACCGUUUCCACCAUCUCGAACAUCUGGGCUGAAGGCUUGACAAGGGGCAAGCCGGGUGGAAUAUGUUUUAGCUUCUCUUCCAACUCCGCGUAGCUAAAAGGGUUAGCAGAAGUGCAAGAUGCAUCAUUAACAGGAUUCCCCUCCGAUGAGGCAAGAGAAGAUGACUCUUGUUCCGGAUUCGGGACCUCAACAUUUACGGCCGGAUGGGCAUCCUCGGGUGCAACCUCAACAUUUCCGGCCAGAUGGACCUCCCCCGAUGCAACCUCAGCUGGGACCUCCGUCGGGACGGCUGCAGUCUCAGUUACCAUCUCCACUUCACCCCCCUCCGGAUGAGCGUCGUGGGCGGAUGUGCAACUGACUUCAAUCUCUUGCUGCCGCUCUUGAAGCCGCCCGAGGAGUCCGGACCUCAGGUUGCGCACCGAGCGAGGCUUCUUUGAGGGUGGCCCCGUCACCAGAACAAGAGCCAGCCGGUCCGGAUCGUCAGAGGGCUGACUCUGGCUUUCUGCUCCCGCUUCCUCCAUGGGGGUCGCGCAAACGGCCUCAGCUGCAUCGGCAUCCGGAUUGCGGGAGUCCGGAUGGUUGACAGACGCAGCUUCCUCAGCCAAAUUCGCUAGACACGCAACCGCUGCCAAGGAGGUGCUUGAGUGGUUCAGCCCCGCAAGGUGUCUGGACCCGCUUGAGAUGGAAUGAGGGGCAGCGUUCACUGGCUCCUCUAUCAUUACCUCCGCCUCAUGAAUAAUGGGCGGAGGAGCAAAUUCCAUGGGAGGACUGGGUUCCUUCAAGUCCUUCCCAUUUUUCUUCACCAGCUUCCUCCUUUUCGCUGGAAUUUUCUCUGGAGGAGAGUCUGCGUGACGAUUCUGUCCGGGAGCCUUCCGAAGGGUCCCUUCGUUCUUCUUCUUCUCCCGAUCCUCCAGGAGAAGUGGGCGUUUUUUAGCGUCAACCUCUUUUAACGCCUCGUAAAUCGGGAAAUCCUUCACAGUAUAAUGCUCCCCAGGAACAACUUCCUUUGGCAUCUUCCUGGGGAGAAUGUUGAUGACAUAUUCUCAGGGCUCCCGGACGACCGCCGUCAGGUUCCGCGCGGUCAGCAGCGUCUUGCACUGCCUCUCCUUGGCGUCUAUCUCGAACAAUUUGCUGAGACAGCCAAAGGACGCCUUCUCCACCCAGUCCACAAGGUGGCCCCUCAAUUCCGGACCUACAUUAACAGCAACAAAAGAUGAGAAUGCCAUCCGGAAGAGUCAACAAAAAAUCAACAAAGUAAAAACCGGACAAUAGUCACAAAAGCAAACUUACCCGGAACCUCCAAGGAAUAGUUUGGGUUGAAAGGCCUCGCCGGAUGCUCCAAAAGCCCCGCCCACGCACCCCGGACCACCACGUGUCCCGUCGCCCCUCCCUUUGUCGAAUCUGGCAGCUCUGUCACCAGUUGGAGGGAGGGCAGGUGUGCGGACAUGCUGAAGAUGUCAUUUUUUACCUUCUUCAAAGAAUACAAAAAAAACACCUCCAGCAGCGUGAGAUCGAGGUUGUACAGCAUGUUUAUGAUGCUGCAUCCCAUCAACACCCGGACGAUGUUGGGAUGAAUGAAGACGGGUGGAAUCUUGGUGAAGUGGAGGAACUCCUUGAACAACGCCGGCAGAGGGAACCGGAGCCCCGCGUUGAAUUGUUCCUUCGAGAAAAUGAUAGUUUUUUCUUCUGCUUUCUCAGAAGGCACAAGUACCCUCCCAUUCAGCAGUUCGAUAGUCACGUUAUUCGGGAUGCAGAACCGUUCCCGGAAUUCCUUCGCAUCCAGCUUAUCUAUCGCCUUUCCACGAACUUCGCUAGCCCCAGAAGAUGAAACAGUCUUUUUUGCAGCCAUUUCUUACCACAAACACAAGCCCAAACCUACACACAAGAAGCGCAAUGGGUAAAACACAAGUAACCCAGAAAAUACACAAACCCUAACCCAAACAAAUCAGAAACCAAAACCAAAGAACCAACAAAACGCAACAAAAGGAACAGCAAUAGCAAAGGUACACGUACCAAAUGAAGCUCUGAAGAAGAAAGGUCGUCGUUUCGAAUACAAGAACACCAGCAGCAAACAAAUGUCGCGACACAAAGUCACCGGUACAAAAGUAUUUUCGAGUUUCUUUACUCAGAAAAAGCAAAGGACGCAACAAAAGCAAGAAGAAGAAAGGCUCUCAGGAAAAUGCAGUAGAAAAAAUGAAAAAGAAGGUACAGUACGCUAUUUAUAGGGAGACCAGCCCUCGGAAAGCCAAACGUCCAAACAGCGCUAUCAUUGAAACAACAUGCUGCCUGGAAAUUCCCAGAGUCGGCGGCUCAUCAUAAAUGCCUUUUAUGGCUUCCGCACCCCCUCUCGCCACGUGGCCCAAUCAGACGAAGAGACCUCUUCAAAAUUCAAAAAGCCAGUUAUUUUUUAACCCGCCCAUUUUUUGGCAAAAUAGGCAAGUUAAAAAGGGGGGCAAUGUGGGGACCCCUCCCUCUGGGAAACACGUGGCACGCACCUCACAGUGACACGCAGCACGUGUUAUCAGCCGGACCAUCAUCAUCCGGAUUCCCUUAAGGAUACGCAUGAUGAUGGUUCUCCUAUCCGGACCGCCUCAAGGAAAAGCACAUGACGUUUCAGCUUCUUCUGCCCAAGGAAGAGCAAACGACGCUGACAGAGCAUAGACAUCCGGACAACCUUCAUAAUGUAUCCGCUCCACUAUACAAUCCGGAUAGUCAGCAUGUGACCAUCCGGAUUUAAUCGUUCGGAUCAUCAAUUAAAGUAAAGCAAGUCUUACACGCUAUCACGACAACCAGCCAUGGCCCACGUCCCAUCAUCUGCAGAGUGAAAGGACGGGUCGAGGUGACAACAAGUCACUUCCCGCGAUCAUUCUACAUGAUCGUUUCCCACGAUAUCUAGACAGCAGCAUCACCUACCACGGUUUCUGACAGCCGCCAGUAGGGUGGCGAUGACCAUGCUGCCUCCGAAUGUCAUCAUGACAAACAUAAAAUAUCUCCUCGCCAUUAAUGAGAGGAACAGUACCCCUGAAGCUGUAUAUAUAUACCUUCGCACGAAGAAGGAAAGGAUCCCCCCCUGAUAACUUCUUAAUACCUGGUAAAAGGCCAACUGAUUUGUACCUCUCUCUCUGAUCAUGGCUAACAAAACCAUCGGAGGGUGCAUCCGGACACCCUGUCCGGAUGCCUUCUUGCAGGUAUAACGACUGGAUCAAGAACCUAUAUAAGUUGAAAUCACGCGUCCAUCCAUCUGGCAACUACGUGGAUCCUCAAAGACGCGAGGUAACAACAAUAGGCUGAUAUUCUUCUUCGCUUGUAGCACCUGUAAUAGCCAUCACCAUCAUCUCUGCUCGCCUUAUGAUUGUCACCAUCCUUAAGCAAGCACUCUAAAAUGUUUUCAUCAUGAUUGUCAUCCUUAAGCAAACCCUCUAAACUGCAUUCAUCAUGAUCAUCAUCCUUAAGCAAGCCCUCUAAACUAUUGUCAUUAUGAUUAUCAUCCUUAAGCAAUAACUCUAACAUGUAUUGCUCUCUCUUUCCACCAUUUAUGAGUUGCUACUUCCCUCAAAAGCACCCCUUCACUUUCUCCCACUUUACAUAUAAUCCUUUUUAAUAUUUUUGUUAGAAAAAAUUAUUUUCCUUUUCUAUUUAGACAUACCAAACCAACUGAAGUUUAUUUUAUUUUAUUUUAUUGUCUUUAAUUGAAAAUUGAAAAUUAGUCAUUAAUGUUGGUUGGUUUUUUGUACAGUAAUGAGUCAAAAUAUUGAGAUUAGUAGGGCAAAUUGGACUGACCCCAUCCAAAGAAAGCACUUUAUUGAUCUUUGUCUUCAAGAGGCAAACAAAGGUUUUAGAUCAGGUGGAGGUUUAAAGUUUAGUGCUUGGCCUCGAAUUGCUGAAAAGUUGGAGAAGUUACUUAGAAAACGUUAUACUUCAAAACAACUUAAGAAUGGGUGGGAUUACAUGAAAAGACAAUAUCUCAUUUGGAGUAAAAUGAUGACUAUGACAGGACAUGGUUACAACUCUGUAACCAAAACUUUUGAUUGGCCAGCUGAAAAAUGGGAAGAAUAUCUACAAGUAGUUUUUUUUAUGGAUUUGAGUGAAUUUUAAAAAUAAUUGUCUUAUAUAUAUGUAUAUAUGACUAAUUUGUUGUUUAUCUUGUAAAAUAGAAAUAUCCAGAAACUAAACAAUUCCGUUUUAAACCAUUAGCAAAUGUGGAAGAAUUAGAGGCAUUGUUUGAAGGGGUGUUAGCUACUGGGUCUAAAAAUUGGAGCUCUGGGGGAGUGAUAGCUUCUGGGGCUGAGGAAUCAUCAACACAUUCUACAUCUAUGCCUAGCGAAACUUCAAUUAGUUUAGAAGAAGAUGAGGAUUUGCCAAGAAAUACUAAUGAUGAAGCAGAAGGUUCUAAGAAAAAACAGAAGAAAAAAUAAUUAUUCAUAAAUACUUCAUAAAUACUUCCAUGAGGUUUUAGUGGCCAUGGUGAAUUUCUCAAAAGAGAUGAUUACUCCUCCAUCAUUCAAUGAUAGUUCAAAUGGUAUCUCCAAUCGUCGGCUAAGACAAAUUUUUAAGGUACAUUAUUUUUUAUUUCUAAUUAUUCAUAUCAUAUUUGUAUUAUUCUCAUAUAAAAAUAAUUAUUUAUAUUUUAAAGAAUUAUUACCAUGUAGGAUGCUGUUGGUGCAAUUGAUGGAACUCUUAUCCAUGCAUGUAUUCCCACUAAUCAACAAGUACCUUAUCGAGGUCGUGGGAGAGGAGAGUGUUUUCAAAAUGUUAUGGCAGUUUGUGAUUUUGACAUGAUAUUUAGGUUUGUUGUUGUUGGAUGGGAAGGAACAGCUCAUGAUUCAAGAGUCUUGACAGAAACUAUUCGUAACCCGUAACAUAAUUUUCCAAUGCCCCCAUCAGGUAAAUAUUUUAUUUUCAUUUUAUUUAAUAUAAUUUGUAUUUAUUCAUUAUAAUAAUCAACUCAAUCCUUUUUUUUUCAGAAAAAUAUUAUUUAGUAGAUGCAGCAUACACACACACUCGAGGUUUUAUGGCACCAUAUCGUAAUGUGCGCUAUUGGUUGAGUGAUUUUCGUAGUAGUGGUAAAGCUGUAGGAAAAGAGGAGAUAUUCAACCAAUGUCAUGCAAGAUUAAGAAAUGUCAUUGAACGUGCUUUUGGUGUUGUUAAGGCGCGUUUUCCAACCUUGAAGAGAAUGGCACCUUAUUCGUUUACUACUCAAACAAAAAUUGUCAUGACAUGCUUCUCCAUUCACAAUUUUCUUCGACAAAUCUCAAUUGCGGAUAGAUUAUUUUCCGAAUAUGACAAUGAAGUGGAAUUGGAAAGUGACAAUGCCAAUCAAAAUCAAAACUCAACUACAAGCAGUUUUUUUGCAGCAUCUGAUCAAGAAUUCAUGCAACAGUUCCGAAACCAAAUCGCAAAUGAACUCUUUCAAGUGUUUAGUUAACUUGUCAUUUUUAGCUUUUUACCAUUGUAAGAAAUGCAAUGUUUAGAUAUUAGCAUAAAAUGUGAUGUCUUCGGAUAUUUGAAAAUAUGUACUUGAAUUGUUAUGUUUUUUCUUUAAUUUGAUUUAGGUUUUAUCAAUCUAUUAUUUUUCAUAUUAUUAAGUUUAAAUAUUUUAUUUUAAUUAUAUAAAAAAUAAAUAUAUUAAUUAUUUUUUGUAAGAAUGAUAAUGAUAAAUUAUUUAUUAUAACAAUUUUAUUAUUUUGAACUUUUUAAAAAUAAGUUAAAUUAUAUUUUUUUAAUACAUUAAAAUAUUAAGAUAUUGGUUUUCAGCAUAUAAAAAAACAAACAGCUUAAUACUUAAUAGAAAUAAAAUUUUAAAAAAACAAACAACUUAAUGCUUAAUGCUAUUAAGCAUUAUUUAGUAUUAAGUUAAAAAAAAGUUCUAUUUAGAAUUAAGCCAAAAAAACAAACGCCACCUUAAUCUAGAAACUCACAUAAUGUGAGAUGAAAAAGAUCAAAUCAAAUCAAAUUAUUUAUUCUUCCACUGAGUGGCCUUCCAGACCCACCAAAUGUAAAAUAUGGAAACAUUUCCUUUCUUCAAAAACAAUGGUUAGGCAAUGUUUAAUAUGUCAAUUGUGUUUGGUACCUUGAGUAAAUUCUGGAAUUGCAAAGAAUAGCCAGGAAGAAGCGGCAGCUUUCCCUCUCUAAGAUUCAAAAACCGAUAUCGUGAUUCAGGCAAAUGUGAGCCUCUAAUAAGUUCAUAGAUAGCAGCUCCCAAGGAGAACAUGUCAACGUUGUCAAGAUGGUCAUACUUGUCAUUCAAGAUUUCUUGUGGCAUAUAACGUGCAUCACCUUUCAUCAAUUGGAAGGCUUCUAUCAAGAAGAGUUGCACAACCAAAAUCACCAAGUUUGUAAACACCAUCUUUGACAUAAAUGUUACCAGGUUUCACAUCUAGGUGAGCUAUUCCUUUCUCAUGUGUAAAUUGCAAGGCCUUGGCAAUCUGUAGAUAAAUUUCAAGUGAAAAGAUGUUAACAAUAACUGAAAACUAAGGUCCUAGUAGAUAUUCAGAUGUUCCAGUUUCCAGUUUCCAUAGCAUUUUGGGCACACCAUUAGAAAUGGAGUCAUCAAAACAAAAAUGGAGCCAGAAAAAAGAUUAGAUUUAUCACAAAAUAAAAUAUUUUAAAAAAAAAUUAAAGAAAAACAAACAAACAAACAAAAAUGUGGUGUCACUUCUUGACACCCUGUAACUGGUCACAAAUUACAAGAAAUAGAUUUGUUAUACACAAUAUGGAAAUAAAGUAAAAAUAACUUGAAAUGCCACAGUAAACUACUAGAUACAAUUUAUCAGGAAACAAAUUUAGGACAGAGUCUAAGAGAAGGGUAGGAAAAUUGUUGAUUGAGUACUCAAAAUAUCUAUAGGUGCUCUAUAUAUGAAAUGAAUAUUUAUUAUUUUUACUUGAAAUGCCAUGGUAAACUACAAGAUACAAUUUAUCAAGAAACAAAUUUAGGACACAGUCUAAGAGAAGGGUAGGAAAAUUGCUGAUUGAGUACUCAAAACAUCUAUAGGUGCUCUACAUAUGAAAUUAGUAUUUAUCUGGCACAUUAGGCCUUUGCCAUAAAAGAAAUUAGAACAGACAAUUGAUUUUGGGCCUUUGGUUUUGUUCUGCUACUUUAGGUAGCAGUUGUCCAAAAUCAUCCUCUUACUUCGACUCUCAGCAUACUCUCUUCUAUGGGUCGCUCCAGUAUACAUUAGGUCUUUGUCAUAAAACAAAAUUAGCUUAGUCGGUUGGUUUUAGGCUUUUGUCUUUGUUUUCCUACUUUAGGCGGUGGUUGUCCAAAAUCAUCCUCUUGACUCUUGGCAUACUCUCUUCUAAGGGUCAUUCUUAUAAUCUGUUCUCUACAUGUACCAUAUGUUACAUCAUAUCACUUAUGGACUCAUUUUUAUGACAUGGGAGUCACAUAUGUAUCCUUGAAAAAAUACAUAUCAACCUUAUGCAUAGGUUCCAGGACUUCCCCUUCUGUGAACAAGUGAGAAGAUCUCUUGAUGGAUAAGCUGUGAUCACAAAGUGUAGUAACCUACAAUCAUUUCAUGAGAGGAACAAAGGAAAAAUGCUGAUUUUGGUUAGGAAAUGAACAAUGCCAAAUUUGUGGAGAAGAAAUUGUAAAAAGUGUAAAACUUAUGAAAGAUUUUAUACAGACCUAAAGCUGCCAAAGCUUGAACUUCCAUCAAAGCUUUCCUCCUGCAGAUAUUAUUGCAUAAGAAAGCUGCUCAGACAAAUACUACAAAUACCAAGCAUGAAGAAGCUACCUUUCUGUGUCUUGAUGCAAUGGUCUUGUGCUAUGUUUCACUGCAUACAUGCAACCAUCAAUUCUCUUCAGAACCUUGAAAACACGACUGAAGUUCCUGUCACCGAUUUGAUGGGGAAAAAACAUUUUAAUUGCAAAAUAUCCAAGCCCCAAAAGCUUGACCAUAUAGAUUGUGAAUACUAUAAAAAAAAAACCUAAUACUUCCACUUAAGUAUAGAAAUACUUGGGGUUUGGUUAGAUACCUCAAUCUCAUGGAAAUCUGUGUGAUAUCGGGAAAGGCUAUCUCCACCAAUAAGUGCAGGGAAAAAACCUGUAGAUUGCAGCCUUAUUCAAUUAAACCCAAGAUAUAAAAAUGAAACCAGAACAGACACUAUGAUAAUCAGCAGUAACCCCACCCAACCCCCAACUAAGUUAAAGAAAAAGGAACGAGAAGUUCCUGGAGAUAUCAGAUGAUAAGAAGAUAAUACUACGACUCUAAAUAUUUCUUAACUUUGUGAUGCAAUAUCCGAAUGAUACAAUCCACUCUAUUCUUCAUGAGCUCAUAAAUGAAUCCAUUUGUUGAUUUAUAGCAUUACAUAGAUGAAUUAAAUUUUUCAUUCUUCAGCACUAUAAUGUAAAAAAUAAACGAAUUGUCCCCAAUUUCAGUGAGUUUUGCACAGAUACAAAAAUAAUAAUCAAAUUGAGCUUGCAAUUCUCCAAUCAAAAUACGCCAUUCAAAAACGUGAAAUUUACCAGAAGAAGUCUUGGCUCAGAAUGAAAUCUUUGUUAUCGACAUCAUCGUCGAUGUUGUCGGCGGCGGUUACGGAUUCCAGAAGAUUCUGGAAGCGAGAAACUUGACCUAGCUGAACCGUCAAAUGCCUUCCUAGGGUACCCUUCAUUUCGUUCCUCUGUCUCCUCCUACUGCUUCUCUCUAGGUUUUUCUCUUUAUCAACAGAGCUCUCCCUCUCUCUCUCUCUCUCUCUCCUCUCACUAAAACUCUCUCUGUAAAUACGUUCCGAAAAAAUGGAGGUUUUGAAAUUUCGGGAAUUAAAAAAUAGUGAAAAUUUAAAAAAUGCGCGAGUUUGGCAGAGAUUGUAUGAAUCCAGUAUUGUUGAGCUUAAAAUGCACCCCGCAUCUCCUUUUGACACGUUUCCAAAUUUGGGGAUUGAGGAAGUGGGAGAGUAUUCAACGGUUUGGAUUGGUUCUUGUGGUGAAGCAAUUUAUGAUGGUAGCGUACCGCGUCAGCCUUGUAGUUUUGUGGUUAUAUUGAUUUGAUACUUCCAAGGCAGUGCGGUUGUAGUGGGCCGAAGCAUAAAGCCCACUACAAAGGACGGCCCACAAAUUUCAAAUUGCUUUUGUGUAUGGCAGGCAAAGUUGCUGUCUAAAUAUGACAACUCUUUCGUCGUUAAUUUUUUUAAAUUAUUUUUAUUAUAAACUGUAUUAUAAUGUUUAAUUUUUUUUCCAACAAUCAUUUUAGAAUCAUAUAAAUUGUUAAAAAUCUAUUGAAAUAAAAAAUAAAUUAGUUAAAAUUUGAUUAGAAUUCUUUUUCUUUUUUGGUUCUUUUCUUCUAGUUAAACUUUAUUUUUAAAUUAAUAAAUUAUAAAAUAAUGUUAAAUAUUUUUAAUUAAUUAUUGACUUAUUAGAUAUAAUUUUUAUUUAUUUAUUUAUAUGAAAAUUUUCAUGUGAUGAACUCUCAUUUAUUAGGAAAUUAUGAAAACUGUAAUUUUUUUAAUUUUUAUGAUCUUAAAAUUCUCAAAUGGACCUUAAUUUGAAUGUUAUUAAUUAUUAAUUUAUUUUUUAUUACUGUUGUAUACUGUAUGUAAAUAAGUAGUCUUCAUCCUUAAAAAAAAUUAUUUUGUUUAUUUGUAUUUUAGAAUAAAGAUAUUUGAAAAACAAUUAAUUAAAAUAAAAUUAAUUUAAUAAAUUGUAGAACAUCCUAAAAUACCAAAAUUUACUCCGUUGUUGUUUCAUAUAAUAAAGAAAAAUAUUUGAAAAUUAGUAAUUUAAUAUAUUUCUAAAUAUCCUAAAAUAUCAUAAUUGGAUUGUAAUACAAAAGUUUAUAAUGAUGAAUGAUAUGAUAACUUAAAAAAUUGGUAAUAAGAUGGUAAUUAGGAUUUCUAAUUAUGUUCAGUUAAGUAAAAAACAUAAAGUUUUUUUAUGUCAAAUUCUAUUUAUUAGUAAUUACUCCGUGUUGUGUGUGUAUAUAUAUAUAUAUAUAUAUCAAAUUUAGAAAAUUGUGAAUUUUUUUAUAUUGACUUUUUAUCCAAAUUAACUAAUUUUUAUUUUAUUAAAUUUAUGUUUUUAGUAAUAAUUUUUUGGAAAAUAAAGAAAAUGACAAAAAAAGAUUAAUUAUAUUCUUUUAUUUCUUAGGAUAACUUUAUUAAUUUAUGACAAAUUUAUUUUUGAGUCAAAUGUAUAAAAUUUAAGUAUGACCUAGUUUUUUAUUUUUAAAAUAAGAAACUUUUGUACAAAAGUAGAGAUAUUAAUGAGUCAUUGAACUAUCCAUAUGGUUGAGAGUUCUUACCAAUGUUUUUAGAAUCGAACCGAAUAUUGAACCGAAAAAAUUACUGGUUCACGGUUCACUAAUCGGACCGGUAGUCAAACUGGUAAUGUCAUAAAUAUAUAUUUUAUAUAUUUAUUAAAAAUAAAAAUAAUUAUAAAAUAUUUAAAAUAUAUAAUUAAAAAUUAAAUAAUAUUUACAAUAUUAUUUAUUCAUUUUUAUAUACAUGUAUUAAUGGUUUAAAUUUAUUAAACAAAAUAUAUACAAUAUUUAAAUACGACAAUAUAUUCAAAAUGGUAACUAAAAAAAAAGUUGUAUUUAUAUAUGAAAACAAAUUGAAAAUGAAAAAAAAAACAUAUGUGAUAUAUAUAUAUAUAUAUAUAUAUAUAUAUAUAUAUAUUAUUUGAAAUAGACUAUGUAGUUAUUUUCUGUUAAAAAUUAACACAAAUGAGCUUGUGGUUCUAGGUUCAAACCCCCUUGUUGUAGUCCGUAGGAAAAAAGUUGAUUUUUGCUUUUAAGUCCUUUUACCUUAUCCCACAUUGGAAGUAAGAGGAAAAAUAAAGUGCUUUACAAAUCUCUUCCCAUGUAACUCAAGUUGGACAGUCAAGCCAAGUGGUUGUUGGGCCUUAUGGCUCAACUCUUGAUUAAGGGUCCAUUUUACAGGAUGGGUGUGGGCAAUGAAUGUUAGGCCGGGGAGAGGAUACAAUCCGUUUUGCCAAAAAAAUGGGUAGGCCAACAAUGUUGGGUCGUGAGGGAAUGGACUAAAGUGGCCCACUUAGUCAAAUAAAAGUUGGGGUGUUGAACCGUUCGGUUCUCCAAAAACCGUCCGGCCCGCUAAUUGAUAACCGGCCUAAAAGGGGGAACUGGAUUGGAACGGUUGUACCGGCCGAUUCGGUCCGGUUUUUAAAACACUGGUUCUUAUAACUUUGGCACAACACAAUUAUAAGGGGCAUGUUGUGCCACCGAGCUAAUAGUUCAUCAUACAAGUCUUCCAUUAAGGACCCACUAUACCAAGAGCAAGAGAAACUUCAUCAUUAUUUUGUCUUUUUUGGGCUUCUAUGUCACCACAUAAAAGGGUACAACAUAAUAAUGACAUGAGUUUGGUCUUACUUCACCUUAUAGGUGGUGAAUAUGGUGAUGGUCAUUUUUGCAAAUUGAAGCUUAAAUAAUGUAAGUGACAAUAUAGAAAAUGAUAUAAUAAAAAUCAAUAUAAGAACAAAUUGCAAAUAAAUAAAGAAAAUGAGAGGGGGGAGGGGGAGGAGGGAAUACAAACUCAAAAUUUUACAGCAAUUUGACACAACUCAACUUACAUUUACUCUCCUCAAGUUUUCAAUCGAGUGACAGUUUUUUUAACAAGGCUUCUAACUCAAACCUUCAAGUUUACAAUGGACUAUAGUUCCAAUCAACUUUCUUGGACUUCUAGCUCCAAAUACCUUUUUGGAUUAUUGUUUUAAAUAUACUUUAUAACAAAAAAUUUCAAUAUAAAGCAUUGUUUUCAUAAUCAAACCAGUGACAUCAUAAAUAUAUAAUUUAUAUUUUAAUAAUAUUAAAAAUAAUGAUAAGAAAUUAUAUAUAUAUAUAUAUAUAUAUGUAUGUAUGUAUGUAUGUAUGUAUGUAUGUAUGUAUGUAUGUAUUUUGUUAUUUUAAAAUUUUUAAAACUAUUAUAUUAAUUAAUUUAUAUUAUUUUUAUAUUUAUAAUUAAUAAUUAUUAUACCAAUAAUGGUAGAUAUAAAUAUUUAUAUUUAUUUAAAUGUUCUAUAUGAUAAAAAUUUAAAGAUAUAUACAUAUUUUCCAUGUUGUUGACCAAAUAGCUGUGUAAGUUGGUGGUCAACCACUCGUUAUGUAAACUACAUGUCCUAGGUUUCAAUUCCCCUCCAUGUGAAGCUUAUUUUAUUAUUAUUAAGGCCUAACCUAUCUCACAUUGAAAUUCCUACAAAGCAUUUAUGUAGUAUUUAUACCUUCACAUCACAAGAGAAAGUUAAUUGCAAUAGAAUAUAGUAAAUGAGCUUGGAAGGAAGUGAGAAAUGAGACAGUUCAAACUCUAGACGGUCUAUUUCACCAAACCAAAUCGAAAAGGCCAUCAGUCGAUGGUUAAACCGGUCGGUCCGAUCAUGUUUUCAAAACAAUGAAAUUAGGGUUGAAUGAUACACUAAAAUGAAAUGCAAGUUUAAAAGUAAAUGCAGAUCUAAAAACAUUCUCUUAAUGCUUCAAAUAUAGUUAAAAAACAAUUUAGAACUUGUUAGCCCAAGGGUUCUCCUAAUCGAGUUUUGAUAAUAACAAAUCAUGGUUAAGUGACUAAUUGUUUUAAAUGGUAAAGAAUCUGAGGUAUAAAUUCAGAAAUUCAUCAAAUGACCAAAUGGAUACAAGAUCAAGACUUUGGGAAGACUUUUGAUCAUAGGAAAUGAAUGUAAGAUGAAUGCAUGGGUGCACUUAGGAUUUUCAUACCGUUUCAUGCAUCUUAGAAAACUUGGUUUAUCCUUUAAAACUUCGAUUUCAUUAAAACCCAAGUUUUAACAAAUGUACCUUGGGCAAAAAGUUUUAAAAUUGACAUAUUAUUUCACCUAAAGACCUUGCCCAAGUGUUAGAAAAGAAAGGAAUUGAAAAAGAUAGGUUUUCGGGGCCAAAAGACUGAACCGGUCGAGACUCUGGCCAAACGGCUCAACCGGUUGUCCUUGUCCGGUCGAGGUCCAGUCGAGGAGUGCCAAAAACACUUUCUCUCAUCCAGUAACUUCAUCUUCCCAGUUGAGGUCCGGUCGAGACAACGAUAACCUGCCAAACAUUAAAUGCUCUAACGACUAGUGAACCAGUUGAACCCUAGCUCGACCGGUCGAGGCUCUUUUUUGCUGUUUUUGGCUCCCGAGCUUAGAAACCUAUAAAUUGAGAGCUCCACUUCAUUUAUGAAUAAGAGAACACUUGCAAUCAAUUGUCUACCUACCUGUUCUUAACCAAAAAGCUUUCAUUUCUUUCUUAGUGCAUUAAAUCAUCACUUGCAUAUCCUUUAAUGCACUCUUGUGUGUCAUCCUAGCUUUGUCUUGUAUUUGAGUUAUCUUUAAGCUAGGUUGAGGGAUUCAUUCUUGUAAAAACUGAGUGUUAAAGCCUUCAAGAGGUUUGAAUCUUGAAGAGAUUAUGUAAGAGCCCAUUAGAGCCGAAAUCCAAGUGUAAGAAGAUUGGAAGCUUGGUUGAAGCUUCAAGUUAGUGGAACCCUUACUCAUUUAGGAGAUUGAGGAGAGUGGACGUAGGCAAGGAAGUUCUGAACCACUAUAAAACACGAGUUUGAAUUCUCUAACUCUAUCUCUUUAUUUUUGUUUAUAUUGUGCUAGAACUUGUUGUGUUUGAAAAGAUAUUAAAAAACCUAAUUCACCUCCCCCAUCCCUUUUUGGGUGUUUUUCUUAAUUAAGCAUAUCCUUUAUUUUCUCAUAACUCUUUCUUGUUCAAUAUAAGAGUUGAAAGCCACUAGAUAUAAUUUGAGUAUUGAUUAACCAACCAAUUGAUCAACUACUAAUCAUCAAGGUUACCAUUUCCCAACUAACUCAACCGAUUGAGACUUAGCCUAACCUUGUUGAACCAAGGUUAUGCCAGUGAUUGGAGCUAAAUAUGUGCUCCAAUAUAAUAUAAUUUAUACAAUAUAAAAAGUUCAAAUCAUCAAACUUAACUUAAAUUGAUGCUAAGAUCCUAACUAUGGAUCUAACUUCCAUUUUUGAACCUAAUUCUAGAUUUAAGGGGUAAAAAGAAUGCUUAGUACAAAUUUCAUUCUCAACCAAGGGAGUAGAAAAUGUUAAAUAUACAUAAAUGAGAGACUUUGCUCUUGUGAACCAUAAAAAGUCCAAAUAAAAGCAUAAUGAGAAAACCAUAGGCAUGAGAUACUAGCAACGAAUAUUAUGAAAUGAGAUAAAAGGCAAGCAAUCAUAAUGAAAGAAGUUUGAAGCAAAUACAAUCAAAUUCACAUGGAAAUUUGGAACUCAAAAAUUGGCCACAACAAGCACUCUAAAUUUGAGGUGAAAUUUAGAGUACUUUCCAAAGUCAUUUUUGAGCAUGUUAUAUUUCAUUUCAAAGUUUGGGAAGUCAAGAGUCCAACACUUCAUAUUAUGUGCAAAUCAAAGCUGAAAUGAAAAAGUUAUGUGUGUUAGAAGCAAAGUAGUAGUAGGUAAGUUCAAAAUUCAAAAUGAAUUAUGAACUCACCAUGGUGAUUUCAAAUUUGGCACUUUUUUUCCACUUAUGAGUUCAAAAUUGAUUUGUGUUAAACUAAGGUUUGGUUAAUCUCGAUUUUGAUGAUAACAAAAUAAGGUUUGAAACUAAUGAUUAUAUUUCAAGUAUGAUUAGGAAAGACGAUUUCCAAAGUGGCAAUUACAAAAAUAAAAUCAAGUCAAAGAGAAAUCAAUUAGAAAAAGAAGACCUCAAAGAUAAGUGUUUUUCAAGACUUAAGUUUCAUAGGAUCUCUUUAUAAAGUUGUUGGUGCACUAGGUCUUUCAUGCAUUACAUUAUUAAUUUAUGCACCAAAAUCAUCCAGAAGUAAUUUUGUUUUAAAUCCUUUAAAAUCUGAUGAUUUCAUGUUUUCAACUAAAACAUUGUAUUAAAUAUUUUUCAAACUUGUUUAAAAGGUUUUAAGUUGAAAAUGAUAGUUGUUGAGCCAAAAACAACUCAAUCGGUUGAACCAAAUGAGGAAUCGGUCGACCUAUUUAGCUCAACUGGUCAAAUGAUACAAAAACUUUCUCUUUCUUCUAUACGGUUGUUUAACUAGUUAAGGUUGAACCUCAACCGGUUGAAGUUUGGUCAAAGGGCGGUCAAGGUCCAACAGUCACUUGCCAAGUAUUAAAUAUUAAAGGCUAGUCAAUCGAUUGACCCCCUACUCAACCAGUCGAACCCCCAAUGGCUAGUUUGGUCGUUUUCUUCUAUAAAAAGGCUUCAAUCUUUAUUAUUUCAUGAGCUUAACCUUCCUAAACAUUUCUUGAAUAUAUUUGAGUCUUGGGCAAGUGUUUUUUAGUACACUAUUAUUUUAAAACUUGCAUAUCAUUAGUGCAUCAUUCAAUCCUAUUUUUCUUGUAUCAUUUGAGCCUUAAAGUUUUGUACUAGGAUUUUGUGAGAUCAUUUAUUAUCUUCAUUUGUAAAUCUAUGAGAAGAAAAGUCUAAGUGUAAAGUAUCACUUUGGGAUUCUCAAGUGUGGGGUAUCACUUGAGGGGUUGUUCAAGAGUGGGGUAUCUCUUGAGAAGUGUAAAGGAUACUUAGAGCCAAAAGUCCAAGAGGGUUGAUUGGACCCAUAAUUCAAUUGUAUUGUUUGAAGGUUUGUUUUGGAAGCCUUGAAUUAGUGGAACCUCAAGCUUAGGAUUGAAGCUAGAGGAGAGUGGACGUAGGUCGGGUUGCGCCGAACCACUAUAAAAUCUUGUGUUUGCAUUCUCUUUUUCCUUACUCUCUUACCUUAUAUGCAAUUAUUUUUAUAUUAUUUUAUUAUGUAUUUGCAUAUAAUUAUCUCUUGCAUUCACAUAAUUUAAAUUUGCAAAAAGAGACUAUCACCCUAUUCACCCCCCUCUAGGGUGAUUACCAUAGGUUGGAUUUGCCUAAUUUUUCUAACAAUUUGGAACUCACCUCAAUUUCGAAUUCAACCAUUGGUGAUCAAGUUUUGAGCUCUAAAACAUACCAAAAAUGAGUUCCAAAUGCCUCAAUCUAAUUCAAAAUGCAUUUUACUCAUUUGGAACUCAUAAUAUUUAGAGUUUUUUUUAGGUUUUUUUUUUAUAAUUUUUCUCCAUAAUAAGUGGACAAUGGAAGUGUAUCACAUGUUAGGAUAUUGAAUUUAUUAAACUCUUUUAUUUCUAGGUUUUGAAGGAGGAAAAGAGGAAGAUAGAAUGUAGGGAGUGAAAUCUCCUCUUAAAAGUCUUUAAUAGAGUUUUAGGUUUUCUUUUCUUUUUCAAUCUUUCUAUUUUAUUUUCUUGGCAACCAAACAUGGGUUGUAAAAAGAAACCCUCUAUCAUGUUUGGCUAACUUGAUUGAUCCAAAUCUGAUAACAUGAUGAAGGUGAAGAAUCCAAAGAAAAGUAGCAAGAACAUGACAAAAUAUGGUUUUCUUUAUGUUUUCAAGAUUUAAUUGAUAAGAAUAAAUCUUUUACAUGAGAUCACUAUAGAUAAAUUACAAAUGAUUCUUAUCAAGAUAGUAGUCAUUCUUGAGAAGACAUUGAUCACUAAUUACUAUAAUUUGGUCUUACUAUUAACGAAUUUAAGGGUCAAAUCUACAAAAAUGGAUAUAGGCUUUGAUUGAAUAAAAUUGAAAAUCAAAAUUGACCAUCACCUAUCAUUGUGAGUUUGUGUUGGGGAAUGAUAUAGUAGAUUAUUACCUAAUACUAGUGAUUUUUGGUAACUUUUGAUCAUUAGUUAUCUUAAUCUUCUUUAUCGUUAUUUUUUCCUAAAAUAAAGCUACAAGGAGUAGGAAAUGUUAAAAAGUCAAACUUUGAACCAAUAAUUAACUUUUAAUCUCAUUCACUUGAUGGUUUUAGAAAUAUGUUUUAAAAAGAAAAAAAAAAGUUUUGGAUGUAACAUUAAUCUUAGGAUUCAAUUUGGUUGUGGAUUGACUUUCAUCCUAAACCCUAGAUUUUAUAAUGCUAUCCUUCUAAGAAUUUGACACUAGAUUAUGAAACUCUCUAGAACAUUCUUUUUUUAAUUUGAUUUAUUUCAUUUAAUAUUCAAGAAAUCUUUAUUCUUAUUUAUUUAAAUUAGGAUUUUAUUAUCUUAAACAAAUAAUUAAUCAUUUUAAUCUAAAAACAAAUAAACACAUUAUAGCUAAUUCCAAAGGACCACACCCCAAAAUAUUACUAAGUCAUGGUAAUUCUAUCUCUGUUUUUUCUUAGCUAGAGUUAUCUUACAAUAAAAUUGAGCAUUUUUUAUCUCCUUAAUUAGCUGAGUCUAACCAAAUUAACUAGUUCUCUUGUACCUCAAUGGAUUGCACAUUUUUAAGACCGAAUUAAGGUUGGUAAACCUCGAUUAAUAGCUCCUCAAUCUUUCAAAAACCUUUCAAAAUAUUUUACUCACAUUAAAACUUAGAUUUUUUCCUUACAUCAAUUGUUUUCAUCUAAUUUAUAAAAGAGUGCAAAACAAUUUAGCACUUUAAUGACUUUAGGUGCUUAAGUAAAAAUGAAAUGUAAUAUGAAUUAAUGAACCAAUAACUUUACAAACAGAUCUUAUAAAAAUUAACUUUAAAUACCAUUUUUAAGGUCUUAUCUUUAUUAUUGAUUUAUUUUCGACUUGAUAAUUGUUUUUAUGAAUAUAUAUAUAUAUAUAUUCCGCAUCUAGUCCUUCACUAAAGACCUCUUUCUGUAGUUGCAUUUUAACUAAGCCUCCUUGAAAUUUUGUUUUCAAUAAUAAUUUAUGUGUUGAAUUUUGGCUAUACAUGCUUGUGAAGAGAAGUAUUGUUGCUACAAUUAUUUAGCUAUUCUCGCUAGGCACAACUGUUUUUUUUUUUUUUUUUUUUUUGUUUCGCUUGAUGCUGAUAAGACAUUUUGUGAUCAUCUCUUUCUUCAUGAUUCAAAGCUCAUAAAUCAUUCCUACUUUCAGCAUACGUUUGUGUGGAAUGUCGAAUGUCUUCUCCUUCUGUCUCAAAUUCUUCUUCAAGAUAUUAUAGCCAACAUUUAUCAAAACCUUCUUUCCUAAUUUGGAGCCUUUCUUUGCCAUCACCUCAAUCUCACCGAUCAAGUGUACCACACCUGCUUGCGUUGCUCUGUCAAUUGCUUCAAUAUCUUUAUCAACAUCUUCUUGGCGUCUUUCUUCAUCAAUUCGUUUUGAUUCUUCAUUCUCAUUCUCGCCAUUAAUCAACUCAUUUUGCAACUCUCCAGAAACCAUGUCUUCAUUACUGUGUGUUAAUGUCGGGGUCAUCAUCAUAUCUUCUCUUAUGAACUCCUUCAAUCUUUCAACUAGCAAUCUCUCAAAAGGCUCUUCCUCGGAUCGCACAUCAGUGUACCCAUACCUCACCACACACCGGAACACAUAAAGAUUGUCUGGGUUUACCCUGCGGAAGAGGAACCGUUCCUCCAUUGGAACCUUGCUUAUGGGGAGAGACUUGAUUGAGACGAAAACAAGAACUGAAUGCAAUGCAGACACAUUUUCCAUGUAAUGCUUGAAGAUGGGCGGGAUGCCAUGAACAAGCUCAGAGUAGAAGAUGGCUAGUCCUGGUAUUCUACUAAAGUUUGUGCUCGCUACUAAUUCCUUCACCAUCUCAGGAGAAAUCUUGUGAUCCAGAUCAUAAUAGUAUUUCCUCCGGUACACAUCAUUCCAAAUGUACAUUAUGGUCAUCAGAACUAAGGCAAAGGCCAAGGGUAGAUACCCGCCUUGAUCAAACUUGUAAAGGACUGAACUUAGAUACAGAAGCUCAAUGCUACCAAUGACCACAACAUAUGAGAUCACAAGUAGGAUAUGGGUUUUCCAUAUCAUGAUCAUCACAAGAACCAGAAAUGAUGAGGUGAGGGUCAUCACGAACACCACCGCAAUCCCUACACCAACAAAGACUCACAAUCAUGAUCAUUUCGAAAUAUCAUGCACCAAGCUCGAAAAAAGUUGAAAAAUGAAGAUCUGAAAGAAGGAUGGGUGGAUUACCAUAUGCAUUUCCAAUCUUUGUGGUAGUCUUGAACCCAACAGUGACCCCUACACAAGCCAGCAUGAGAAGGUAAUUGACCUCAGGAAUGUAUACUUGCCCUUCAUACUUAGUCGAUGUAUGCACAAUCUUCACCCGAGGAAAGCACCCCAGCGAGAGCGACUGCUGGAUAAUGGAGAAAGUCCCGGAAAUCAUUGCUUGACUGGCAAUGAUUGAUGCGGACACAGCCACAACAAACAUCGGCCAGUACAGACCAUCUACACCAAAGAAAUUAACCCACCUAAAUAAACCAAUAAAAGAACCAACAAGAAGACAGAAAACAUACUCUAAUGCAAGAAUGCUUACGUGGUAUGGACUUAAAGAAAAUGUCACCAACAUCCUCAUGGUGUUUCCGAAGAAAAGAGGCUUGACCAGUAUAUGCCAAUACAAGAGCAGGGUAUGUGAUAGUGCACAUACUUAUCUGUAUCGAUUGAACUGUGAAGUGGCCAACAUCAGCAAACAGCGCCUCCGUCCCUGCAUUUCCCGAAAACAAUCUGAGAAAUUUCUCAAGUUAAUGAUGGAGGAGAAUUGAUUAAUGAUCCACAUCCAAACCUGUUAUGGAGAGGACGACCCCACCAAGGGAAAUCCAGGCUUGUUUCUUGUUCCUUCUGAAGUAAUCGAUGAUGUACUUGGGAUUAAUGGCUUUAACAACUGUUGGAUCAAACUUGAUGAAGUUGUAGACCCCAAUGCCGCUAAUUAACGCGAACCAAACACAGAUUAUUGGAGCAAAACUGUAUCCAACUUUGUCAGUUCCAAAUCUUUGAACCAUGAAGAGGCAUACCAAAAUGACUACUGAUAUCCAAACAAUCAUAUCUGUUUGCACAAAGGAAAAUGGUAUUGAAAUUAAAAUAAAAUUUAUUUAUUUUUUCAAAUUGAGGAACAAAAAUGAUCAAUAACAUGCUUAUGUAACCAUUUUUUUUAAAUUAUUUUAAGAUGAUAAGACACUUUUAUUGUAUUUAAUAAGUUAGACUAUUACCUUUGUAUAUCUGCCAUGACUAAGGAAGUGGACAAGUCAAAAUGUUAUUAAAAAUAAUUAUAUGAGGAUGUUAUUGUAAUUUGAAAGGAUUAUUUUAAAUUUGUCAACAAUGCAAAGUUGCAAACCAAUUGGUUUUUUUUUUUUUUUUUUCCUUUUUGUUUACUUAAAAAAAGGGGAAAGAUUCCAAGUUAAUGUGGCCAGUUGAGAUUUCCUAAAGUUAUUUAUAUAAGCCAUUGGAUUCAACACUUUUGUCCACACUUUAGUAGUCAAAAUUGUACGAUCUCAUUUAUUAUCAAUUAAUUUGGUCCAAUUCAAUUUCUUUUUUUAGGGUUAUUUAAUUAAAAGAAAUAAAAUAAUUACAAAAAUACCAUUCAUUUUUAUUUUAUUUUUUGUAAAAAUAUUUUUUUAAAAAAAUUUAUAAAAAAUUAUCCAAAUAUUAAAUAAAAAUUUAUUUUAGUAGUUGAUUUUAAAAGUUGAGAAAGAUUACCUUGUGUCAUUGAAUCCAAUGCUACCUUGAUGCCACCCACAGCUGAUAAAACUGUGACAUGCAAAGUCAAAUGUCAAAUACACAACAUGAAAGUGAAGGAGGAAACCCAUUUUCCUUGUCAGCUAAAAUCCAACUAAAUUAAUUUGCAUCACAAUUUUGGUUUUUGUGAAAGACGCCAAUCCUAAAUAUUCCUACCCAAUAAGAAAACUUAAUAAUAAAGAAGAAAGUUGAAUGCAUAUUCCCCCAUAUAUAUGUUUUUUGGUAACAAAAAUUUGUGAAAGGAAAAGCCAUUUAUUAUGAAAGAAGGAAACCUUUUAAUCUCAAACUAAAAAGGAUGAUGUAAAUUAUGGUGGCUUUUUACUUUCCAAAAGUAAGAAAAGUAUUUUCAAAUUAAAAAUUGUGAUGUGAAAACAAAGAUGAAAAAAAGAGCUCUUUUAAAAAAUACGUUAAUAAGGGGGAAUAAAGCAGAAGUAUUUCAUUAAAUUUGUAUGUAAAUGUAAAGAAGAAGGAUAAAAACUAAGCUAACCUGAGAUGCAAGGAGUGAGGACACCAUCACCAAUCACCAUGGAAGUGCCAAGCAUUGUGGCAAACAACAGAAAGAGCUUAGCAAAGUUGCUCUUCUCUAGCUUGGACUUGAGCUUUGAUGCCAUCUGCAGUCUUUUACUAGGCAGCUCCAACCGGAAAUUGGAGACUUCUCUGUCCUCAGCCUGUUGACUAGGGAUCAGCCCCACCUUGGCAUAUCGGCAUAUAAGAGAAUACAAAGCAAAUGUCCCUCCUGAAAAUAAUAAUAACACAAAUGUGAUAUUCAUCACCUAAGCUUAAUGGGUUAUUUUCCUUUUUCGGAGUUAUAAUGUGACCGUAUAUUUAGAGUUGAAAGGGAAGAAAAGAUUAUAAAAAAGAUUCAUUGGAUUGAGAGCACAACUGUUGAUCAUUGAUUAAGCACAUAAGAGGGAAGUUUCCCUUCCCCAUUUGGAGCCUGCAAGGUUAUUUUAACGGCUAAGUCACACAAUUUGUUCCAUCACAGUUGGCCUUCAAAGGUGUUUUCCACUCAUCCCAUCAAUGAUCAAGACUAGCAAAAAUGGCAAGAAAAGAAAAGGGAAAAAAGAAUCACAGUUGGUUUGGAAAAGUUUUAAGAUCAAAGUAGCAUCUUUCUAAUAAGAAAAGAUGAUGGGUUCAAGCCAUAAAAGAAAACAAAAAAAGGAAAAGGAAAGAUAGAAAAAGAAGAUCAAAGUAGGAUUCAUUUGAAUUAAAAUCAAAGGUCAUUCAUGAUGAUGAGCUCUCACCACCGCCAUUAUCAUUGGCCUUCAAAACAAUCAAGACAUACUUGAAGAGAGGGAUGAGGGUGAGGGUGUAGAAGAUGAGAGAAAGAACCCCCAGAAUAUCAUCAUUAUGUUUGACACCAUCAGUGAAAGUGCUUGCAUACACGUACAAAGGCGAAGUUCCAAUGUCCCCAUACACUAUUCCAAUGCUCUGAAACGCCAGGUGCAGUAUCACAGACCAGUUCUUGGAGCCCUUCAAAACAGAAAAUAAAAAGAUAAAAAUAAAUAAAUAAAAUAAAAUAAAAAAUCAAAUCUUCUUUUUCCCAGUUACCAUGCAUGCAGAUACAGAAUAACAAGAAAAUGAUAUCAGGAAGUGGGGGUGCAGACCCUGGAGCUAUGGUGGCUUUGGCCAUGGACAGUCCCGGUCUCCAUGUCUAAGGAGUCCAUACGACGUAGUUCUCCGCAUGAGAGUUUCUUUGAUUUGAGGCCUUGAUCAUGGGUCUCGUCAGGGCUGUUUACCACAUCAGAAGACAUUUUCUAUGAUCCGAAAAGGGCUUUGAUUAGCCUGGAGGUUUAGCAGAAGGAGGAGAGGCCAAUUUAAAGGCACAGAAAGGUCUGAAAGAAGUGAAGAAGAAACAUGAAGUUCAAGGUGGGAGAUGUCGAUGGACAUCCCCCAAAUGUUUGCUUCUUGGUUUUACGCUUCUUACCUUCCUUGCCCUGCCCUGACUUUUGGUUGACAACCGCAUGGUUGAUUUUAUGAAUUAGUAAAUGAAAUUAUGAGUGUCCUUCUUCCCCAUUUAUUUUCCAAAUUUAGUAGAAAACGCGUCAUCAGUGAAUGGUUGAAUGGUUGAUAUCAGAAGCCAAUAAUUUGUUCUUCAAGUUUGGCAUUUUCUAAAUUUAUGAUAUUUUUUAUGGUAUUAAUUAAAAGAUAUUUUUCAUGGUGAUAAUUAAAAGAUAUUUUUGGAAAGAUGACUUCCAAUUAUAUUCCUUUACAAAUUUGAAAAUAUUUUUUGAAUUAAUAUAUUACUAUAUUUAUUAAAUUCCCAUCAAAGAAGCCAUGUUGCUACAAUUUUUUUGGCUAUUCUAUCUAGCUACAAUUGAUACUAAUGGGACAAUCUUUUGAUGCCUUCCCAUGUUUCAAAGCUCAUAAAUCAUUCCCACUUUCAAUAUACGUUUGUGUGGAAUGUCAAACACCUUCUCUGUCUGUCUCAAAUUUUUCUUCAAGAUAUUGUAGCCAACAUUUAUCAAAACCCUCUUUCCAAAUCUGGAGCCCUUAUCUGCCAUCACCUCAGUCUCACCGAUCAAGUGCACUACACCCACUUGUGCCGCGCUAUCAAUUACUUCAAUAUCCUUCUUAACAUCCUGUUGAUGUCUUUUUUCAUCUAUUUGCUUUGAUUCUUCUCUCUCGUUCUCACCAUUAAUCAACCCAUCUUGCAGCUCUCCAGAAACUAUGUCUCCACUAUUGUGUGUUAAUGUCACGGUCAUCAUUAUCUCUCCUCUUAUGAACUCCUUCAAUCUUUCAACCAGCAAUCUCUCAAAAGGCUCUUCCUCAAAACGCACAUCGGUGUACCCAUACCUCACCACACAUCGGAACACAUAAAUAUCAUUUGGUUCUACCCUGCGGAAGAGGAAUCGUUCCUCCACUGGAACCUUGCUUAUGGGGAGAGACUUGAUUGAGACGAAAACAAGAACUGAAUGCAAUGCAGGCACAUUUUCCAUGUAAUGCUUGAAGAUGGGCGGGAUGCCAUGAACAAGCUCAGAGUAGAAGAUGGCCAAUCCUGGUAUUCUACUAAAGUUUGUGCUCACUACUAAUUCCUUCACCACCUCAGGAGAAAUCUUGUGAUCCAGAUCAUAAUAGUAUUUCCUCCGGUACACAUCAUUCCAAAUGUACAUUAUGGUCAUCAGAACUAAGGCAAAGGCCAAGGGUAGAUACCCUCCUUGAUCAAACUUGUAGAGGACUGAACUUAGAUACAGAAGCUCAAUGCUACCAAUGACCACAACAUAUGAGAUCACAAGUAGGAUAUGGGUUUUCCAUAUCAUGAUCAUCACAAGAACCAGAAAUAAUGAGGUGAGGGUCAUCACGAACACCACUGCAAUCCCUACACCAACAAAGACUUGCAAUCAUGAUCAUUUUGAAACAUCACUAAGCUCGAGAAAAGCUGAAAAAUGAAAAUAUGAAAGAAGAUGUGGGUAGAUUACCAUAUGCAUUUCCAAUCUUUGUGGUAGUCUUAAACCCUGCAGUGACCCCUACACAAGCCAGCAUGAGAAGGUAAUUGACCUCAGGAAUGUACACUUGCCCUUCAUACUUAGUCGAUGUAUGCAUAAUCUUCACUCGAGGAAAGCACCCUAGUGAGAGAGACUGCUGGAUAAUGGAGAAAGUCCCAGAUAUCAUAGCUUGACUGGCAAUGAUCGCCGCUGACACAGCCACAACAAACAUCGGCCAGUACAGACCAUCUGCACCAGAGAAACCCCACCUUAACCAAUAAAAAAACUAACAAGAAGACAGAAAACAAACUCUAAAGCCAGAAUGCUUACGUGGUAUGGACUUGAAGAAAAGGUCAGCAACAUCCUGAUGGUGUUUCCGGAGAAAAGAGGCUUGUCCAGUAUAUGCCAAUACAAGAGCUGGGUAUGUGACAGCGCACAUACUUAUUUGAAUUGAUCGAACUGUGAAGUGGCCAACAUCAGCAAACAGCGCCUCCGUCCCUGCAUUUUCCCGAAAACAAUCUGAGAAAUUUCUCAAGUUAAUGAUGGAGGAGAAUUGAUUAAUGAUCCACAUCCAAACCUGUUAUGGAGAGGACGGCCCCACCAAGGGAAAUCCAGGCUUGUUUCUUGUUCCUUCUGAAGUAAUCGAUGAUGUACUUGGGAUUAAUGGCUUUAACAACUGUUGGAUCAAACUUGAUGAAGUUGUAGACCCCAAUGCCGCUAAUUAACGCGAACCAAACACAGAUUAUUGGAGCAAAACUGUAUCCAACUUUGUCAGUUCCAAAUCUUUGAACCAUGAAAAGACAUACCAAGAUGCCUACUGACAUCCAAACAAUCCUAUCUGUGUCCAAGAAAAAAUUUAUUUGAGUUAGAAUCAUUAUUUAAAUAAAAUUAUAAGAAAUGUAAGAAAUAAAAUUUAUUUACUUUUUUCAACUGAGGAAAAAAAUAAAAAAUAAAAUAAUAAUAAAGAAAGAAUGGUUAAUAAUUUAUUGUAUAUAAUAAUAAUAAUAAUAAUAAUAAUAUGAUUACAUAUAACCAUUUUUUUUAAAAAAAAUUAUGAUGAUGGGAAAUUUUUAUUGUAUUUAAUAAUUUAAACUUUUACCUUUUCAUCAGUCAUGAUUAAGAGGACAAAUCAAAAUAUUAUUAAGAAUAAUUAUACGAGGAUGUUAUUGUAAGUUGAAAGGAUUAUUUUAAAUUUGUCAACAGUGCAAACCCAUUAUUUUAUUUAUUUUCUUUUUCCUUAAAGAGGGUAAAUAUUCCAAGUUAAUAAGCCAUUGGAUUCAACACUUUUUUCUACACUUUACUAGUCAAAAUUGGACAAUCUGAUUUUUUUAUCAAUUAAUUUGGUUCAAUUCAAUUUUUUUGUAAUUAAAAGGAAUAAAAUAAUUAUAGAUUUACAAAUCUUUAAAAAAAAAAAAAUGACCUACAAAAAUACCAUUCCAUUUUUUUUUGAAAAAAUAAUUUUUUUUAAAAAAAAUUAUAUAAAAAUUAUCCAAAUGUUAAAUAAAAAAAUUAUUUUAGUAGUUGAUUUUAAAAGUUGAGAAAGAUUACCUUGUGUCAUUGAAUCUGUGACUUCCUUGAUACCACCCACAGCAGAUAAAACUAUAACAUGCAAAGUCAAAUGUCAAAUAUAUAUACAAUAAAAGACUGAAGGACAAAACUCAUUUUCUUUGUCAACAAAAAUUAAUAAUAAAGAAGAAAGUUGAAUGCAUAUUCAACCAUAUACGUAUAUCUACUUAAAUUAGUCAUAAGUAAUUUUCAAUGAUAAUAAAAGAUAACUUUAGAAAAAGCUAAGCACAAGAUGUUUUUUGGCAACAAAAAUUUGUAAAAGGAAAAGACAUUUAUUAUGGAAGAAAAAAACCUUUUAAUCUCAAAUUAACUAAAAAAGGAUGAUGUAAAUUAUGUUUGUUUUUUAUUUUCAGAGUAAGAAAAGCAUUUCCAAAAAAUGGUAGUGUGAUGUGGUUUUUAUUUUCCAAAGUAAGAAAAGUAUUUCCAAAAAAAAUGAUAUUGUGACAUGGUUUUUAUAUGAUUUUUACUUUCCAAAGUAAGAAAAGUAUUUCCAAAAAAUGGUAGUGUGAUAUGGUUUUUACUUUCUAAAGUAAGAAAAGUAUUUUCAAAAAAUAUAUGUGAAAACAAAGAUGAAAGGGAAAAAAAAAAUCCCUUUUAAUAAAUGCAUAAGGAAAAAUAAAGGUGUAUGACAUUAUGUCAUUAAAUUUGUAUGUAAAUGGAAAGAAGGAUAAAAACUAAGCUAACCUGAGAUGCAAGGAGUGAGGACACCAUCACCAAUCACCAUGGAAGUGCCAAGCAUUGUGGCAAACAAUAGAAAGAACUUUGCAGAGUUGCUCUUCUCUAGCUUGGACUUAAGCUUUGAUGCCAUCUGCAGUCUUUUACUAGGCAGCUCCAACCGGAAAUUGGAGACUUCUCUGUCCUCAGCUUGUUGACUAGGGAUCAACCCCACCUUGGCAUAUCGGCAUAUAAGAGAAUACAAAGCAAAUGUCCCUCCUGAAAAUUAUCCAUGGUGUUUAAAAGAAGUGUAUUCUAGGCUUAAUGAGCUAUUUUCCUCUUUUUUUGAGUUAUAAUGUGAACCACAUAUUUAGAGUUGAAAAGGCGGCAAGGAUUUAAAAAAAAAAAAGAUUCAUUGGAUUGAGUGCACAAUUGUUGAUCAUUAAUUGAUCAACCAGAUACGAGGGACCCCAGUAGGAGCCUGCAUGGUUAUUUUCAAGGGCAAGUAUCACAGUUUGAUACAUCAAAGUUGGCCUUCAAUGGUGUUUUUCACUCAUCUCAUCUAUGAUCAAGACUAGAAAAAAAUGGCAAAAAUAAAAAUAAAAAUCAAGAAAUUAAUAAACCAUUUUGCCUUGUUGGUAUGGAAAAGUCUUAAUAUGUGGCAUAUUUCUAAAAAGAAAAGAUGAUGGGUUCAUGCCAUAAAAGAAAAGAUAGAAAAAGAAGAUCACAGUACGAUACAUAUAAAUUAAAAUCAAAGGUCGUUAAUGAUCAUGAGCUCUCACCAUCGCCAUUAUCAGUGGCCUUCAACACAGUCAAGACGUACUUGAAGAGAGGGAUGAGGGUGAGGGUGUAGAAGAUGAUAGAAAGAACCCCCAGAAUGUCAUCAUUAUGUUUGACACCAUCAGUGAAAGUGCUUGCAUACACGUACAACGGCGAAGUUCCAAUGUCCCCAUACACUAUUCCAAGGCUCUGAAACGCCAGGUGCAGUAUCACAGACCAGUCCUUCGUAUCCUUCAAAACAGAAAUUCAAAAAAAAAAAAAAAAAAAAUCAAAUCUUCUUUCUCCCAGUUGCCAUGCAUAAUAACGAGAAAAUGAUAUCAGGAAAGGGUGGGGGGUACAGACCUUGGAGCCAUGGUGGCUGCGACCAUGUACAGUCCCGGACUCCAUGUCUAGGGAGUCCAUACGACGCAGUUUUCCCCAUGAGAGUUUCUUUGAUUUGAGGCCUUGAUCAUGGGUGUCGUCCGGGCUGUUUACCACAUCAGAAGACAUUUUCUAUGAUCUGAAAAGGGCUUUGAUUAGACCGGAGCGUUUGCAGAAGGUGCAGAGGCCAAUUUAAAGGCACAGAAAGGUCUGAAAACCGCGUGGUUUGAUUUUAUGAAUAAUGAAUGAGUAAACGAGAUUCCGAGAGUGUUUUUUUACCAUUUAUUUUUCAGAUUUAUUGGAAAACGCGUUAUCAGUAAAUAAACUUCCCCCAUAUUAGUCGGAUGGUUGAUAUCAGACCUCUUCUUGCCUUUUCUAAAUUUAUGAUAUUAAUUAAUAUUUACUUUUUGAAGAUACGACUUCUUAUUAUAUUCCUUUACAAAUUUGAAAAUAUUUUUUGAAUUAGUAUAUUACUAAAAAUAUUUUUUAAUUAAUAUAUAUACUUAUAUAUAUUUUUUAAAUCCUCAUGCCUACAAUAAAAAUGAUAUAUCUUCAUGUUUAAAAACCUUUUUCUAUUCUUACGUUUUAAGUGCAAAAACAAUUUUAAUAUUUUUAAUAUUUAAAUAUAAAAAAAUUCAAAUGUUAAAAAGAUUAAAAAAAAACGUUUUUUAAAAUCACUAUGAUUCUAUUUUUUUUUUUACUUUGUUUUCCAUUUUAAAAAUAAAAAUAAACAUUACAAUAAUUCUUUUUUUAAUAAUUAAGUUGAGAAAAAUAUUACAUUUAUAAUUUCUUUCAUCAUUAUUUUUUUUCUAUCAUCACAUUCAUUUAAUUAAUAAAAUUAGAUUUAAUUAAAUUAAAAAAUAAUAAUGAUUUUAAAAAAUAUUUUAAAUCUUUUGUAGUUGGCUAUAUUUAACUGCACAUUAAUAGAUACCCAAAAUUUAUUAUUUAAAAAAAGGUAAUAAAUUAGAGACAACGACAGCGCAACCCUACUCUUGGCUGUGGAAAGGACCAUGUACUCACGUGAUAGAAAGUUGAGAGGUGUCCAACAAAAGACGCGAGUGAAUUGUCCACAUGCAUGGGGGCGAGUAGAACUUUCCAAUGGGGUGAAAAUUCUAAAGCAUCACGUUCAGAUCGGUCAUAGCCACGUGUUACACGCAUUCUUUCUGCAUCAUCACAUAUCACAGGAAGCCUAUCACAGGUUGACCCUAAGACGGAUUGGGUAUAUUCAUGGGCCUUGUUUGGAAAAUAUAAUAUCAAAAAAAUCACAGCAAUCUGAGUUUAAAAAAUAUAAAUUUAAGUAGCUUUUUAAAAAUAAUUAGGAUCUUAACAUUUUAUACACUUUGGUGUACAACCUUUAUCUUUAAUAAUUCAGAUACUACUUUUUAAUGGGAUAAGUUUUAUCUAUUAUAAUUUUAAGUAUCAUCUAUUUUAUGAUUAAAAAAAAGUUAAAUGAACACAAUAGAUAAAGUGAUAAAAAAAAAAAGGACCAUGAAAUGAAACUUCUCCAUAUAAGAAGAUGCAUAAAAAAUAAUAAUUAAAAAGAUAAAAUUAUUGAUCUCUCUCCUCCCCUUCCUAAAAGAGGAAAUUGAUUAUUGUUCUUUUACAUUAUAAAGAUAGAAUUCUUGUCAGAUUUAUGAACAAAUAUAAUAUCUAAUUUUUUUUUCAUAAUGGAAAAGGCGCUCUCUCUCUCAUCCAAAGAAGAGAACAUUGACUAUUGCUCCUUUACAUUCAUAACGAUAGAAUUCUUUAGAAUUCAUUAACUAAUAUAAUGUCUAAUUCUUUUCCAAAAUGGAAAUGGUGGAUUGAAACGUUACCCUACCAAUGCCAAAACUAUCAAAUAAAAUAUGCCUCUUUUUCUCUCUUUCUCAUCCCCUUACUAGAAAAGGAAACUAGUUAUUGCUCUUUUGCAUUAUGGAGAUAAAAUUCUUAUCAAAUUCAUGAACUAACAUAAUGUCUAAUUCCUUUCUGUAAUGAAAAAGGCGCUCUCUCUCUUUCAUCCAAAGAAAAGAACAUUGGUUAUUACUCCUUUACAUUCAUAGAGAUAGAAUUCUUCAGAAUUCAUUAACUAAUAUAAUGUCUAAUUCUUUUCCAAAAUGGAAAUGGUGAAUUGAAACGUUACCUUGCCAAUGCCAAAACCGUCAAAUAAAAUACGCCUCUUUUUCUCUCUUUCUCAUCCCCUUGCUAGAAGAGGAAAUUGGUUAUUGCUCUUUUAUAUCAUAGAGAUAGAAUUCGUGUUGGAUUCAUAAACUAACAUAAUGUCUAAUUCCUUUCAAUAAUACGUGUCAACAGGGGAAUAUCAUGGACGAAUGAUAAAUGUGCACGUUUAUGUGUUUUUGUUUGAUGUCAGAAACUUAUUAGUCAUCUAAUACAAAGAAGAAAUGGUCACAACCUAAUGCAAUCUACGUGCCAAACCUAGAAACCUGGAAAUUGUAAACGUACAAACCUUGAAAUUCAGAACUUCCCAGAUUAUUAGGAAAAUAAAUUACUGGCAAACCUGUAUUGAAGGGACUUCUUGAAUGCUAUCCUCACUGUCAACCAAACUUUAUCGCUGAUAUCUGUUUCAUGUCACAACCAGCUACACCAAAAUGAAAGUGACUUCUUCAUUAGCACUGCAUUCCAUCACAAUAAAAAUUACAGCGUCCUCAAGAUUUUCUUUGACAAUUUACACAAUCUGCACCAUGCUGAGGGGAAGAAUGGUGCAUACAGUGGACAAAAACCUAUUGCCAAAAUUUUUGUGACUUCAUAAUCUUUUCCAUCCCUUGUUUGCUGGACCAGAAAAAUAUAAGUGUUUGCAUAUACGAUCUCUUAAUCAUAGCUUCCAGUUCCAUUCAAAGUUCAAUUGUUGCAAAAUGACCUUACUUGGUUUUGGCAUUUCUUUGGAGCCUGUCAAAAAUUGGAUUUUCUACCAGUUCUUUAGCUGAAGGCCGCCAAACUGGAUUUGGAUCCAGCAUUGCCUGGUAGGAUUAUAUAGGUGCUCUACAAAUGAAAUGAGUAUUUAUCUGGCACAUUAGGUCUUUGCCAUAAAAGAAAUUAGAACAGACAAUUGAUUUUGGGCCUUUGGUUUUGUUCUGCUACUUUCGGUAGCAGUUGUCCAAAAUCAUCCUCUUACUUCGACUCUCAGCAUACUCUCUUCUAUGGGUCGCUCCAGUAUAUAUUAGGUCUUUGUCAUAAAACAAAAUUAGCUUGGUCGGUUGGUUUUAGGCUUUUGUCUUUGUUUUCCUACUUUAGGCAGUGGUUGUCCAACAUCAUCCUCUUGACUCUUGGCAUACUCUCUUCUAUGGGUCAUUCUUCUAAUCUGUUCUCUACAUGUACCAUAUGUUACACCAUGUCUAAGGAGUCCAUACGACGUAGUUCUCCCCAUGAGAGUUUCUUUGAUUUGAGGCCUUGAUCAUGGGUCUCGUCAGGGCUGUUUACCACAUCAGAAGACAUUUUCUAUGAUCCGAAAAGGGCUUUGAUUAGCCUGGAGGGUUAGCAGAAGGAGGAAAGGUCGAUUUAAAGGCACAGAAAGGUCUGAAAGAAGUGCAGAAGAAACGUGAAGUUCAGGGUGGGAGAUGUCGAUGGACAUCUCCCAAAUGUUUGCUUCUUGGUUUUAUGCUUCUUACCUUCUAUGCCCUGCCAUGACUUUUGGUUGACAACCGCGUGGUUGAUUUUAUGAAUUAGUAAAUGAAAUUAUGAGUGUCCUUCCCCAUUUAUUUUCCAAAUUUGUGAAUGGUUGAUAUCAGAAACCAAUAAUUUGUUCUUCAAGUUUUGAAUUUUCUAAAUUUAUAAUAUUUUUUAUGGUAUUAAUUAAAAGAUAUUUUUGGAAAUAUAACUUCCAAUUAUAUUCCUUUACAAAUUUGAAAAUAUUUUUUGAAAAGAUAUAUAUAUAUUAAAUCCUCAUUCCAUAUCUAUACCUUCACUACAAACUUCUUUCUUGUUACCAAGCCUUCCGGAUUGAAUUUUGGCUAAUACAUGCUUGAGAAGAGAAGUACUGUUGCUACAAUUUUUUUUUAGCUAUUCUAGCUAGCUACAAGCAGCCUUAUCACUUUAUACUAAUGGGACUUUUUGUUGAUCAUAGUCUUCCCAUGUUUCAAAGCUCAUAGAUCAUUCCCACUUUCAACAUACGUUUGUGUGGAAUGUCAAACACCUUUUCUGUCUGUCUCAAAUUCUUCUUCAAGAUAUUAUAGCCAACAUUUAUCAAAACUUUUUUCCCUAAUUUGGAGCCCUUCUCUGCAAUCACCUCAUUCUCACCGAUGAAGUGCACCACACCAGCUCGUGCCGCUCUAUCAAUUGCUUCAAUAUCUUUGUCAACAUCCUCUUGGCGCCUUUCUUCAUCAAUUUGCUUUGAUUCUUCACUCUCCUUCUCACCAUUAAUCAACCCAUCUUGCAGCUCUCCAGAAACCAUGUCUUCAUUACUGUGUGUUAAUGUCGGGGUCAUCAUCAUCUCUUCUCUUAUGAACUCCUUCAAUCUUUCAACCAGCAAUCUCUCAAAAGGCUCUUCCUCGGAUCGCACGUCAGUGUACCCAUACCUCACCACACACCGAAACACAUAAAGAUCGUCUGGGUUUACCCUGCGGAAGAGGAAUCGUUCCUCCAUUGGAACCUUGCUUAUGGGGAGAGACUUGAUUGAGACGAAAACAAGAACUGAAUGCAAGGCAGGCACAUUUUCCAUGUAAUGCUUGAAGAUGGGCGGGAUGCCAUGAACAAGCUCAGAGUAGAAGAUGGCCAGUCCUGGUAUUCUACUAAAGUGUGUGCUCGCUACUAAUUCCUUCACCAUCUCAGGAGAAAUCUUGUGAUCCAGAUCAUAAUAGUAUUUCCUCCGGUACACAUCAUUCCAAAUGUACAUUAUGGUCAUCAGAACUAAGGCAAAGGCCAAGGGUAGAUACCCGCCUUGAUCAAACUUGUAAAGGACUGAACUUAGAUACAGAAGCUCAAUGCUACCAAUGACCACAACAUAUGAGAUCACAAGAAGGAUAUGGGUUUUCCAUAUCAUGAUCAUCACAAGAACCAGAAAUGAUGAGGUGAGGGUCAUCACGAACACCACCGCAAUCCCUAUACCAACAAAGACUCAUAAUUAUGAUCAUUUCAAAACAACAUUAAGCUUGAAAAGUUAAAAAAAGGCCAAGAAAUGAAGAUAUGAAACAAGGGUGAACUGUGUGGACUACCAUAUGCAUUUCCAAUCUUUGUAGUAGUCUUGAACCCGAGAGUGACCCCUACACAAGCCAGCAUGAGAAGGUAAUUGACCUCAGGAAUGUACACUUGCCCUUCAUACUUAGUUGAUGUAUGCACAAUCUUUACUCGAGGAAAACACCCCAAUGAGAGUGACUGCUGAAUUAUGGAGAAAGUCCCAGAAAUCAUUGCUUGACUAGCAAUGAUCGACGCGGACACAGCCACAACAAACAUCGGCCAGUACAGACGAUCUGCAACAGAGAAACCUCACCUCAAUGAACCAAUAAAAGAACCAACAAGAAGACAGAAAACAGACUCUAAGACCAGAAUGCUCACGUGGUAUGGACUUGAAGAAAAGAUCACCAACAUCCUCAUGGUGUUUCCGGAGAAAAGAGGCUUGUCCAGUGUAUGCCAAUACAAGAGCAGGGUAUGUGACAGUGCACAUACUUAACUGUAUCGAUUGAACUGUGAAGUGGCCAACAUCAGCAAACAGCGCCUCCGUCCC
rnacentral:lncRNA from 1 species